rnacentral:lncRNA from 1 species
GGGUCUGACAGUCAGGUUUUUCAGUUUCGUGGCUAGUGGUUGAUUAUGAGGUUUCCGAGCUUUGGUGAGUCCUCAUGCUUCGAAGAUGGGUUUUUAUUGUUUCAGUUGAAUUCUUGUAUUUCAGUUUUGUACAUGAUGUAUGGGCUAGGCCCUAUUUCAUUCUAUUGUACUAGAUGGCUAAUGAGACAAGUGUUUUAGAAAUCCCAUUUUCUUUUAUAAAACUAUUGGACUUGGACUGUUGUUUUACUUCUAUUGUUCUAUUUAUUAUGUGAUGAAUGCUAAGUGGCUUGUAUGGGGUCUUUAGGGGUCCUAUACGCCAUUGUACAUCUGGGGGUACCCAUGGGCCUUGACAAACUUGGUAAUCAGAGCAUAAUGUUUAGAAUGGUCCUAGGAUGUUUCAUAAGCCACUUCGAGUAGAGUCUUGCUCGUGACCGUGAAGUGCUCCACAUUUAUGAAUGAGAAGCUACAAGAUGAUUAGGAAACUCCACGUCUUUCAUUACUCUAAAGUCAAGUGAUAGAGUUUAACUGUAUAAUCUCUUAAUCCAUAUAUACUGUUCUACAUGAUAUGGCUACUCUAAGAGCUUAUGCUAGAAGGAAUGUGAGGGAGAAUGUGGAACAAGAAGCACCUCCCCAAGCUCCUCAAGUUUCGGUCGAUCCUUUGGCCGAGCAAGUGACUAAUGCAAAGUUUAGGGCUGCUUUCCAAGUGUUGGCUCAAGCCGUGACGGCCCAAGACAAUAAGGAGGUUGCGGUUUCCGUGAACCCAAAAGUGGGUACGGCGACAUCUAGAGUGAGGUAUUUCACUAAGAUGAAUCCUCCAGAGUUUCAUGGUUCUAAGAUUGAGGAAGAUCCUCAAAAGUUCAUUCAUGAGGUCUACACAGUCUUGAUGAUAAUGGGAGUGACACCGGUGGAUAAGGCAGAGUUGGUCACUUAUCAACUUAAGGGUGUAGCUCAAAUUUGGUAUAACCAAUGGAAAGAAGGGAGACGGGAAGAUACGGGUCCUCUUGAUUAGGAGAAGUUUAAAGUUGUUUUCCUUGAUAGUUUUUUCCCCUUCAGAUGAGGGAAGCCAAGGUGCUUGAGUUCAUUAACCUUCGACAAGGGAGUAUGAGUGUGAGGAAAUAUGCUCUAAAGUGCACACAAUUGUCUAAACAUGCUCCAACAAUGGUUGCCGAUUCAAGGGCAAGGAUGAGUAAGUUCGUUUGGGGUGUGUUCGAAAUAGUGGUUAAAGAGUGCCAAACUUCAGGCUCAUUAAUGACAUGGACAUCUCUCGUCUCAUGGUUCAUGCACAACAGAUUGAAGAGGAGAAACUUAUGGAAAAGUCUAGGGAUACAAAGAGGGAUAAAAUCGGUGAUGGUAAUUUCUCUCAUGCUAGGUCCAAUGGACAUGGUCGUGCCAGAUUUUGACAAAGGUUUUUUGGUCAAGGUUCCUCCAAUGCUUCUCCUAAGUUCAACAAAUAUAAGGUGUCUAACUCUAAGCCUCAAGGAGGUAAUGGUAGUGGAUCUUCUUUGCCCGUGUCUACUUGUACUAGGUGUGGAAAGAAGCACGAGGGUAAGUGCCUAUCCGGCAAGGAUGGUUGCUUUAGUUGUUGUAAGAGUGGUCAUAAAAUAAGGGAUUGCCCGAUGCUUACGGCUAUAGGAAGCGAGGGAAAUCAGCCCUCCCUCUAGCAUGAUAUAAAUAUUUUAAGCAUAGCUAUCAUACUUGGUACAUUGUUUAGUACUAAUGCAUACUUUUGCCUACUUUUCCCCAAAUGUAGGGUCCGACAGUUAGGUUUCUCAAUUUCGUGGCUAGUGGUUGAUUACAAGGUUCCCAAGCUUUGGUGAGUCCUCCAUCUUCGAGGAAUGGUUUUCAUUUUUUCAGUUUACUUCUUGUAUUUCAGUUUUGGUCAUGAUGUAUGGGCUAGGCCAAAUUUCAUCUUAUUGUACUAGAUGGCUAAUGAGACAAGUGUUUUAGACUUCCGCUUUUUUUUAUAAAACUAUUGGACUUGGACUAUUGUUUUACUUUUAUUAUUCUAUUUCUCAUGUUAUGAAUGCUAAGUGGCUUGUAUGGGGUCUUUCGGGGUCCUAUACGCCAUGUUACAUCUAGGGAUACCCCUUGGUCGUGACAAGGCUUCACUUUCGUGAAGGUCGCGAAAGUGAACUUCCUUUCGCAAUCGCUAUGGUCAGGCCACCUGGCCCGUCGCUUUUACGAUCAAACCUUCACUUUUGUGAAGGUUAUGAAAGCGACUAACCCUUCGCGAACGCCAGGUACUUCAUAUCCCAGGCACCAGAAAAAUCAGCCAACACUCAAAACAUCAAAAUCCUCAAAAAUUUUCGGAAUCUCGUACGCACAAACAAUAUAUGCAAUUUCACUAAAGUCGUUGUUUCAGACUUAAUGAAACCAUCGAAAUACGAUUCCGAGGUCUCUUAGACCUGAAAAUUAUAAAAGUCUCAAGAAAUGAACAUAACGCAUAAAAAUGAUAAAUCAAGCUUGAGACCUCAAAAAAUUCAACCAAGACCUCACCGAGGCAUAAAAUCAUCACCAGAAUCCAUUAAACUCUUAGAAUUCUAAUUCGAGCAUUCGCACCCUAAAUUUUAACUAAAGUUAACUGAAAGGCUAAAAUUUCACAGAGUCCCAACUUAGGAGAUCAAAUCCUCAAAGAGACUCCGAAUGUUAAACUGACAGUUUUAUUAAACCAAAUUCCACAUUCUAGAAGUCAUGAAAUCGACAGAAUUCGGUUUCAACACUCAAAACUCCAAAAGACACCAAAAACUACUUUUUAACAACUUUCCUUUUGAAACCAAAAACUUACAUAAUUCACAACUUUUUACUCAAAGUUUGCAAUGAAUUUCAAAACAAUAAGAAAUGAUUUCAGGUCAAUAUUGGGAGGGGUGAAAUGGUAAUUUUUUAAAAAAAUUCAAAAUGACCUUCUAGGUCAUUAUAGAAAAUAUACAUAAUGAUAAUUGAUGGUGGUGAUUGUGAUCUAUGUUUGUUAUGGUAGUGACGUUUGAUAGCGAUGCUUGUAAAUAGUACCUAGUGGUGACUACAAGUGGUUGCAGUAAUGGGCAACAAUGGUUUGGUUGAGGAUAACAAUUGUAAACAUUAUUUAAAAAUAUUUUCCAAACAAAAUUAAGUCACAGUUAAAGAUUCUUUGGAUAUUAAAUUGUCAUUAAAUAAGCAGUAGGGACAAAAAUUAAAGACCAUCGAUUUGCAGAAUAAAAAUUAAAGACCGCCAAGAUAGGGUAGUCCAUGCAAGAACUUGAACUGUAAGACUUAAUAACAAAUAUUAUUUAUCCAGACCUGUUCGGAUGCACUAAGUUAUUGUAACAUAAAAAACCAACACAUAUAGUGAUUAAAAUAUGAAUAAUUUAAAAUUAAGAUAUUUAUUCAGUUCAAAUAAAUGAGGAUUUAGUAAUAUCGUGUGACCUACAAAUUUGUUAUGUAGAGAUAUGAUAGGAAAAAUAAAUUUUUUUACAAUAUAAAUGCACAUGACUAUCUUUUAUUUUCAUAAUAUUAGGAGCUUUGAAUUUAAAUAAAUAAUAUUAUCAAUUUUACACAUUUUUACAUUUUUAUCUAAUAAAAUAUAUUUAACAAUUGAAUAUCAAAUGGAUUAUUUUAAUGAGUUUGUCGUGUAUUUUAGAUUUUUUUUCGUUUUGAUAUUUAGUUUUUUUUGUUUAGUAUAAUAUAUUAUAUAUCAUCUCAAUUAUUUAUAUUUUUAUUAUUAAGUUAAUUCUAUCUCUCAAGAUUUUAAAUGGCAAAAAAAGGAAUAAAUGAGAAAUAUAGUGCAAAGAUGUGAAAAAGACAAUAGUAGCACCAUCUUCUUAGAUUUUAUCAGCACAUUUUUAUGGGUUACUUAGAAAAUAAAACUCAAAAUUUCAGAGCCAGCGGAAAAAAUUCCCUUGACUUUUUCCCUCUAUUUCAAAGGGCUAAAUUCUCUCUCCCGAACUAGCAAAUAUUUAGGGUUUAACAUAAUCUAUUCUCUCUCUUCAUCAUCUUCUCUAUAGAGUAAGUUUUUGCAAUCCAAAUUGAAAAGGUUAGCAAUUUAUGAUUCUUUUUUUUUAUAUCUUGUAGAAUUCGUAUCUAAAAUGCUUUGCAAUAUGCUUGUCAAUCUAUCUCAUUAGUUGCUAGUCUUUGCCAAGAAAAAGAUGCUUUGCAAAGACAAUUUCAAAGGUUGGUAUACUUUCUUUUCAUGAUUCGCCUUCAAAAAAAUUAUAGUGGGAAGAUUCAUGGAUAGAGUGGUAUUGGUUGCAAGAAUUUUUCUUGCUUGAAUGUUAAGAAAAUUAUUAGAGAUUGUGUUGGUUGUUUUUAUAUAGUAAGUAGUGGGGUUAUGAUAGUCGGGAUAGUAGGGGGGAGAAUAAUCUUUUAAUUGAUGAUGUGUUAGCAAUGUUGGAAAUGGUGGAGGAAUUAGAAUUGAAUUUGAUAUUCGUGGGGGAAUUGGUAAAUUUGAAGCUAGAAUUGUUGAAAGGAAUAUGACUAUAUGAAUGUUCUCCUACGUUUGACUGUCACUUCACCAUUUAAUGAGUUCAUUGCUGUAAGGAUCUUGUCCCAUUGUAUUUAAGUUUGGAUCACUAGUUUCUCUUUCACGAUAAUGUAUUUGAUUUGGUUCAAGAGGGAAAUGUAUUAGAUUUUAGCAACAUCAGACACCUUGAGAAAUUAGAACUUUUAGUCUUGACAUUGCUAGAGUUUUGAGGGCUGGAUGAUUGUUUUGAUUGGAUAAUUUAUGUUAUUCCAAUGAAGACAAGAAAAAUGUAUUAACUAAGUUAAUAGAACGUUUUAGGUAUCAUGGUAAAAACUCAUUUCAGUCGUUCCUUUUUAAGGGUCAUGUAAAGUCCAAAGUAGAUAAAUAAAAGUGAACAGAGGGAAUACUUUCCACCAUUUCUUUUGUUUCUUUUACCCUCCCUUCUUUUUUUUCUUACGACUUAUUGGUAAAGAAUUUCGAAUUUAUUGUGCAGACAUACGCGCUGCCUUAGCAUUUGAAGUAUGGUGGUUGCACACACACCAAUGCUCGCCCUUUCAAAUCUUCCAUUCAAUCAUUAUUGGCUCAAAUUCGCCACCUCCACAAACCCACCAACCGGCAAGAGAAAAGCCCUAAAGAUGGAACCAAGAUAUUUCGAAAACAAGUAAUUUCUACGCCAAAUGGAGGUAUACUUUUUCAUCAAUUGAUUUGAUUUGUUAACUCCAUUGCAGUCCCAUAUGGAAAGAAAGGUAUUAAUUUCCAUUCAUUUGGUGUCAGAAAAUUUGAAUGCAUCGAGUACAAAAGAAGAUUUUACAAGAGUCAAUCUCUACGUUAGAUUUAUUGGCACAAUGCUAAUUGACAACUAUGAUAGUUACACUUACAAUAUAUUUCAAGAGCUCUCAAUCGUUAGUGGCAGUAUGUUCACUCUAUCAUAUAUUAUUUAUGAGUUCUGACACAUAGUUUUAACCAUCAAUUCGGUAAGAAUAAAAAAACUUGAACUAUCAAAUCACUUAGCCUGUCAUAGAUUUUUUGUCUUGAAGUUGAAAUGAUUCAGUUUCCCUUUAUUGACUUAUUCUAAUCAUUAAAAUAUUUACUCCUUAAAAUUUGGUUGUAUGUCUAUUUCUUUUGUUUUUUCUUUUGAUCUGUGUUUAGCAAUUAUAAUUUGAUAUCGCUACAUUUUGAUACAGUUAAUAAAAUUCCAAUUUCUCUACAGAUAAAUGAAUUUCUCUUAGACAAGAACUAUUCUUUGACCAACAUUAAUUCAUGAAGGGAAAAUUAUUAUCUUGAGAAGACCUAUUGCUAAAUUUAUAUUUGUCCCCUUCACUUUCUUCCUUGAGAGACCUCAACCCCACCCCAAAGACAAGUAUCAUUAGCAUUGUGCUAAUGCAAAAAUUAGAUGUUUCGAGCAAUUCAGUGUUGUCUCUCUGCUUUUGUAAAAAAAACUAAUCUAGGAGUAGUUCUAUAUAUCUAAGUCUUGAUACAUAGAGUGCAAGAAAAUGUCACAAUAAUUGAAUAGUAAUGUGAAGUUGUAAGUGACGUUCUUCGCAUAGACACACUUAAUAAAAUUACAAAUUCACAAAGUAGAAAAUAUGCAUAGAUAAGAAAAAACAAAUAGUAGAGCAGUUUUAAAAGGACAUAUAUACCCUCAAAACACAUAACCAUAAAAAAAAUUAAGGGCAAACCCCCAAUGAAAUUAUUCUCUUUACCAAGCACCAAAAAUUGAGAACGAGGAGGACUAAUGAUCACCGAGAAACUAAUUAAGAGAGUUCAAAAUGUUUUUACGAAAGGUAUUGUAGGAACAUUCCACAUUCUUGGAGAAUUUGGAGAAAGAUGUCAGGAAAAAGACAGUGAUCUAUGUAUUGAAGGACCUAGCUCCAUUCUUGAAAGAGUUGACUAGCUUGAGCAACUUAUUCACAGUAUAGCUCCCAUCUUGUUUCAACCCAUCCAAGGAAAUAUGGAGCUUGCCUACAUUGUUACUGGUGUCCUUGUGAAGGCGACAAAUCUUCUCCAUAGUUUCUUGGAUAAUCUCUAAAAUAUUUUCCAUAGUAAGCAAUCUGGUUUUGAUGUCAUCUGCAUACUAAAGCAAUUGUGUAGUUGAGUGUCUGAAAAUCGUUGUUACUUUGAUGGUUUCUUCCUUGGAUUUCACGGAUUCCUUCUUGUGCCAUUUCUCACUAACUAGAACUUAACCCAUGCUUGAAAUUCUGCGAGUGUCAUAGGUUGUAGAAACUUCAACUUCAAGUGGUUUAAACUUUAGAGAGAUCGGCCAAAAGUCAUAGAAUCCUAGAGAUAAGAAGACCUUAACAUAGGCUAGCAGUAGCAUUUGAGUGGAGGAAAAAUAUAUUGCUUUUGAUCUGUGAGUACUCUAGACCUAGGAAAGGUUGUCGCAAGACUGGAGGAAAAAGGUCUUGAAAAAAUGAAGAAGUAUGUGAGUAGCAAGAUGAAAUUGAGAUCUCAAAUUGUAAAGGAAGGCCAAAUAAGCCAAUUCAAUAGGAAAAACUAUCCAAUGAGUGGGAAAUAAUUUUCAGAAAUUUUAUGUCGCUUUCAAACAAGUGGAAGGAACUCACAUGGGAAGGAAAGGAUGCAAAACUAAUUAGGUGUCACAUAAGGGUUUUAUGCUCUUAUAAAUUUAUUAUUGAUAGUGAUUAAAUUGAGUUCUUUUCGUUUGGGUUCUACUAUUAUUCAUCCAUCUAUUUAUUUUUUUGGCGAACUCCUUGGCAAUAUCUAUUUCUAUUGAUAUCUAGUAGUAAGUCUACCCAUGGUCUCUUUUGCUUUCUUGUUUGAGAUUCCUAUUUUCUAUUUUUGAAAACAAAUAUAACAAGAAUUUAUUACCAAAGAAACUAGCAAACGAGAAAACAAAUAACUAGUAUAUUAUCAGAUCAACUACUGACUAUUCAAACUACAACUACGGUUAUAUAUUCAUCUCUACAAGCUUCCUUCCUAAACUAUUCCUCGUGGAUCCUCUAAAAAAGAAAAUUUACAGAAUCCUCUAAAGAAGAUAACAACUUCAGGAUCAAAACUUUUAGCUUGGUUUUUAAGGACUAGCUCUGUACUCAAAAAGUAACACCCAAGGGUAUUUCAUUCGAUCAAGUAAUAUUAAUGAUUCAUUGAUUGAGGAUGAUUUUUAAUUGCAUGUCAAUAUCAAAUGUGUUCAUGUGUGUACAAAUUUCAUUCCUCCCUUGAUAUUCUGAUUUGAUCUCUUCACAUAUAUUUUUCUCCUUUUUUGUCAUGUUAUUUCCUUUUAAUAUAUCUUGAUUUAAUAGUCUUCUCCUUGGUGAAAGCAGAAAGAUUUUUUCGUUGACUGCUUCUUGGUUUCCUUUGUAAUUGGAUGAGUUGUCCUUUAGCUGAUUUUAUUGGUCCCUGAUAUACUCCCUAGGUUGGAUUUUUGCUAGAUUGGUUUACUGUGAUUUAGUUUCUUUCUUUUGUGAUCUUUCUAGCAUUCCAUCAUUGUAUUUUAUUUACUUCUUUUCCUAUUAGAAUAUCUUCAGUCAAUUGUCGUUUAUCAAAAUCAGAGUUAUAUAGGGCUAACAAUCUCCCCCUUUCUUAUAAUGACAAUUAAUACACAAAUGAAAAUGAUUAGGUUCUAAGGAGUCUUCCCCAUUUGAGUGUGAAGCUCUACCUCUUUUUGUGCUUCCCAUGUCUAAGAUAUUUGUGGGAUUUCUUCUAUUUUGGUAUGAUAAAAAAAAAGCAUAGACACACAUAAUAAAAUUACAAAUUCACAUAGUAGAAAAUAUGCAUAUAUAAGAAAAAACAAAAUAGUAGAGCAGUUUUAAGAGGACAUAUAUACCCUCAAAUCACAUAACCAUAAAAAAAAUUUAAGGACAAACCCCUAAUGAAAAUAUUCUCUUUAAUAAGCAACAAAAAUCGUGGACGAGGAGGACUAAUGAUCACCGAGAAAGUAAUUAAGAUAGUUCAGAAUGUUUUUAUGAAAGGUUUUGUAUGAACAUUCCACAUUCUUGGACAAUUUGGAGAAAGAUGUGUGGAAAAAGACAGCGAUCUCUGAAGGAGCUAGCUCCAUCCUUGAAAGAGUUGACUAGCUUAAGCAACUUAUUUACAGUAGAUCUCCCUUCUUGUUUCAACCCAUCCGGGAAAUAAGGAAUAUUUGAGUUCUUUGCAUUUUCUACCAUGUAUUCUUAAACCACAUAGCGCAAUUAAUCAUAUAUUUCUUAAGCAGAAAGUAGAGAACAUGCACAUCCCAAGUUUAGAUGUUGCUCAUGUACCCCUUUCAGGGAACUAAAGUGCUAGUAAUUAUGUGGUCCAUGAUCUGAUUCUCGGAUCAAAGAGAUAGAUGCUCAAAUAAAAAAAUUGAAUCUUGGUUCUACCAUAUGCUGUUUGGGCUACUUCUAGAGACACUUUAAAAUUAUCAUGACAGAUGCCAUUCAUAUAGGGGAAAAUUUCAGAAAAUAUCAUACCAAAUACAUCUUCGAAUAACAAUUCAUUCAUAAGAAACAUGACUUUCAUAACAAGAAUUUCCAAUUCAACACUAUCUAUAAAGACUUGAGAUUAGCAUAAACUUCUUCAUAAAACACAAAACCAUAGAGAGUAAAGAACAAAGCUAACUUCCAAGCAUUGAGAAAAGAACUUACCUGUUAAUGAGAAUCCUUCAACUAACUAAAAUUAACAACUCAUCCAGGAAGUACAGGUUGAUUUUUGAAAGAUUCAUACAUGUUCAUAUGCUCAACACCUCAAAACAUUUGCAUUUCCUUUGGAAGGGGAGAUUCAAACACAUCAGAACGCACUUUCUUGGUAUCCUUCUUCUUCAUGGAGGAUGAUAUCUUCUUGGAGGAAAGAGAUGGAGAGUUAGAGGUGUCGGCUGAAGAAAGAAUCAGAAGAAAGUGAAUGAAUGUCAUGAUCAAGGGUUUUGAAUGACUGUUGAAGGCUCUUCUAAAACCCUUAAUCAUGACAUUCUUUCACUUACUUUUGAUUCUUCAUAAAACAUCUCUAAUUGUCCCUCUCUUUCCUUAAAGAAGAGACCAUCCUUCAUGAAGAAAAAGGAUACCAAGAAAAUACGUUCUAAUGUGUUUGGAUCUCUCUCUCCAAAGGAGAAGCAAAGGUUGUGAGGUAUUGAGCAUAAGAAUAUGUAUGAAACUACAAAAUAUCAACCCAUAAACCCUAAUUGAGUUGUGAAUCUAUGUCGGUUAAAGGACUCUCAUAGUCCAACAGAUACUUUUCUCAAGGCUCAGAGUUAUCUUUGCUCUUUAGUCUCUAUGGUUUUGAAUUUAUAAAGCAGUUGUUUAUUUUUUUAAUGUUAAUCUCUGAGUCCCUAAUGAAAGUGGUAUGAUGGAAACUCUGGUUACAGAAAGUCAUAUUAUUGUGAAUAAAUCAUUAUUCGGAAAUGUGCUUGAUACUAAAAUUUUUUGGCAUUGUUCCCUACAUGAAUAACAGCUAGCAUAGAGAUUUUGAAGUUUCUCUAGAAGUGGACAAAGAAAUUGUGGUUUAACCAGGCUCUGAUCUUUUGGAUUCGUCCCUCUAUCUCUAUGUAUCGAGAAUCAGAUGAUGGCCCACAUCACUAAAAGUAUGAUUCUCGAAAUAGGUUUGUGAUAAGCAUUUCAACCCGUGAUGUGUUUGUUCUCUAUCACCUGCUUAAGAUAUAUAGCAUUAAUAUGGCUAUGUUGUUUAUGGAAUUCAUGAUUUAAGUGCAGAGGACUCAAAUUCUACUGCUAGCCAACCCUAUGGGCUUUUACCUAUAGGAUUUUGGUGGACUAUUUGGUCGAACUCUCUAAGUUUAAACAAGUUGAAGUUUUUGAAAUUAUGACAUUGCACCUUUCAAGCAUGGGUUAUAUUCUAGUUGGUGAGAAAUUACAAAAGAAGGACUUUGUGAAAUCCAAGGUAGAAAUCAUCAAGGUAAAUAUGAUCUCUUAUGACUCUACUGCUUAAUUUCUAAAGAAUGCAGAUGAUAUGAAUACCCAGUUGCUUGUUGUGGAAAAUUGUUUAGAUAUGCUAUAGGAAACUACAGAGAAGAUUCUUUGUCUUCACAAGUACAUAUGAAGGCAUGCUUCAUAUUCCCAUGGAUAUGUUAAAACAGGAAGGGAUCUUUAUUCUGAAUAAGCUGCUCAACUAAGUCAACCCUCCAAGGCUAGAGUUAGCUCCUCCAAUACUGAGAAUUGCUUUCUCUUUUCCGAAAUCUUACAUCACUUCUCCAAGAAUGUGGAACGUUCCUAUAAUACCUUUUGUGGAAAUGUUCUCAACACCCUUAAAUACUCUCUCGAUGAUCAUUAAUCCUACUCGUUAUCUGUUUUGGUGCUCAUUAAAGAAUAUUUUCGUUGGGGUUUGCGCCCAAAUUUGUUUGUGGUUAUGUAUUUUGAGGGUAACAUGAUCUCUUAAAAUUGUUAUGUUGUUUGCUUUUGACUAUCUACGCAUAUUUUUUCAACUGUGUGUAUCUAUAAUUCAAUUAUGGGUUUUUAUGCUUCUUUUUUAUCAUACCAAAGGUGGAGAAAUCCCACAAUUAUCUUAGACAGGGGAAACCUUCAUAAAAAGGGGGAGCUUCACAUUCAAACAGGGAUGUCUACUUUAAAUUUGAUCCUUUUCAUUUGUGGAUUGCUGAGAGAAAUAACAGACAUCUAAUUGAAACAGCUCAAACAUUGCUCAUUCACAAUCAUGCCCCUUUAUGUUUUGGGGUGAUGUUGUUAUUACUGCUUGCUAUUUGACCAAUCACAUGCCUUCAUCUGUUUUGCAGUACCAUAGUCCACACUCGGUCCUUUGUCCAGACCAAAAUUUAUUUCCUCUUCCUCCACGUGUGUUUGGUUGCACUUGUUUUGUUCAUAACCUUACCCCUGGAAUAGAUAAACUUAAGCACAAUGCUUUUAAAUGUGUCUUUCUUGGGUAUUCUCGUCUACAAAACGGUUACAAAUGCUUUGAUCCCUCUACCAAUAAGUACUUGAUCCCUGUAGAUGUUACUUUUUUCGAGACUUCUCCGUAUUUUUCUCCUAAUACGGAAAAUCAAAAGGCCUUAGCUGUCCUUCCCAUUCCAACCCCAGCUCCACCUCCAACUCUUAAGGUUUAUUCCAGACGACCUAAACCUCCUUCUAAACUUUCUAAUCCAGUUGGUAUUUCUAACAAUGAUACAGGUGCACAAAGAAAUCUUGAUGACUCAUUACCUGCUCCAACAAUGUCUUCUGCUUUGGUCGAACACUUAUCUGAUGAUCUUCACAUUGCUCUUCGCAAAGGUACUGGAAGUACUGCCAAUCAAACUCAUGUUUAAUCUUAUUCAAGUUAUUAUAGUUUGUCACCUUCAUAUAAUGCCUUCCUUACUAGCUUAUUAUCAGUCAAAGUUCCUAAGACUAUGGAAAAAGAAUCGGUUCAUCUAGGUUGGCGUCAAGCUAUGAUUGAGGAGAUGACUGCUUUGCAUGAUAAUGGUACUUGGGAGCUUGUUUCUUUACCUGAAGGCAAAACCACAGUUGGUUGUCAUUGGGUAUUCACAGUUAAGGUAGGUUUGGAUGGAGCUAUUGAUCGUCUCAAAGCAAGAUUGGUUCCUAAGGCAUACACUCAGAUUUAUGACAUCUAUUAUGGAGAUACUUUCUCAAUAGUUGCCAAGAUGGCUUAUGUCUAUCUUCUUAUCUCUAUGGUAGCAAUGAAUCAUUGGCCCCUUUUUCAAUGGGACAUAAAAAAUGCAUGGAGAACUUACUAAAGAGGUAUAUAUGGAGCAACCAUCAGGGUUGGUUGCUCGGGAAGAGUCUAGACUAGUUUGUAAAUUUCGUUGAUCCCUCUAUGAGCUCAAGCAGUUUCCUAAAUCAUGGUUUGGUCAUUUUUGAGUUGUUGUCCAACAAUUUGGAAUGAUCUGAACAAAAGUUGAUCACUCUGUAUUCUAUAGGCAUUCAUCUCAUGGCAAACAUAUCUUUUUUAUUUGUUUAUGUUGAUGAUAUUGUUAUCACAUGAGAUGAUUAUGAAGGUAUUGCUCAAGUCAAAAAACACCUCUCAAGUCACUUUCAUACAAAGGUGUCACGACCCAGACUGUCGUGAUUGGCACCCACACUAAGCCUCCGGUGGGAAAACCACUACUACAACCCAAACCAAGAAACUAAACCAAAAUUAAGGCAUUUAAGUAUACGAAAGCAGGAAAAUUACUAAGGAAAGAAAUAGAGUUCCCAUAAACUCUAACAAAAGUCUAACAAUAAUAACUAACAUUGUGGAAGUAACGCCUAGAAUUUGAAAGUCAAUGUACCAAAAUAUCUAACAAUGAACCAAGUCUAAACAAGAAGGGAUACAACCCCAACUAUUGUACUAAUAACUAAUAGAACUGUCGAACUGCGGAAAUGUGGACAUAGACGAAAGGAGAACUCAUGGCAGCCCAGAAGAAUUGGCUCACCCUUGAAUUCAAACGAUCGUCACUAAUCUUCUAAACGAGGUCUGUCAAUAGCUGCCGGAAGAUGCCCUAUACUCAACAAAAAUAAGAGCAAGUGCAGUAUCAGUGCACUGGUAGGAUCACAUGACUAUCCCACUAAGUGCAACAUAAGCAAGUCAAUACAACAUUAUAAACAUGCAAAAUACUGAACAUAUAUAAUAUCGAUUAUCACAUGCUCAAUAAUACACACAAUUAUGACAAGUCAUUGGUCCUCUCAUGGAACCCAAAACCAAACAGUUAGCAUACUGGAACGUGGUACCCAGUCCAAUAUUUAUGCCGGAACGUGGCAAUUGAUCCAAUAAUUAUGUUGGAACGUGGCAACCGAUCCCAAAUAGUUAUGCUGGAACGUGGCAACCAAUUCAUUCAAUACACCACAAUCACAAUCACAAGUAUUCUCUCAAGUUCAUACAAAUAAGUCAUGAUUCAUGGCAUUCAUCAUUCAUCAAUCUUAUUUACAACAAGUGUGAUCAACAAUGCAACAUUCGCAUACAUGUAUGUAUCAUAAUGAAGCACGAACAAAACUAGAUCACACAUUCAUAGGAUCACAACCAUCACCUACCUAAAAACAAACUUGAAAUCCUAAGAAACUCGAUCCUUCCCUUUCUGUAUUCUUUCCGCUUGUUCAUGGUCUAAAAAAAUCAUAAUAACACGGAAAUCAAUAUCACUAAUUACCCGAAUUGCUAACAAUUCUAUGAACCCUAGAUCAAACCCAUGAUCCCAAGUAUCCAAAAUAGGGUUGUUUCCACCAUAGAAUCUACAUCAAAACCCUUCCCCAUCGAUAAUUACCCAUUCUAUUACGUUCUACGGAUCCAAAAAUGGAUUCGGGGAGUAAAAAGCUUACCUUUAGCCUCAAGAAUGGUGGAAAACUGUUAGGAGUCACCUAGACGCCGUUCCUUAGCUCUAAAAAUCGAAAAGUACAGAAUGAGGUCAUUUGGGCGUUUAUUUACGACCUUAAGUCGGGUCGAACCUGCCACAGCGGCCCUCACCCCGCUAAAGCGGCCCCACCAUAGCGACAAAAAGCACCAUCAGGGCGGCUUGCACGAAACAGUGAGCUAUUUAAAGAAUUCCAAAAUCCUCAUUUCACAAGUCACCUCUAACCCACGAUGCUCAGAAAAUACCCUUCAUGCUAAGAUCGAUUCUAGGAGUUCUACUCGCCCGAAUUCAAUUCUGCAAAGUCGUACGAAUUCCUUAACGAGUUAUCUAAUCAUUCAUGUAGCUAGAAUUAUAAAUAAAUUAAACGAUCGCUACCAGAUUUCCUUAUACCUUAAUGACUCCGAUUUCAUCUAAAUCUGGACUAGGUUGGGAAAAUCUAAAUACUACGGGAAAAAAAUUUGGCCCCAAACUUUCUCCCGUUGGCUUCUCUAUAACGAAGCUGGCCGUUAUAAUAGAUACCAAUUUAUCCAUCACUCAUCCCGAGUGACAAACUUAGGGAAAAGAGGCUAAGGAAAUAAUGAAUUAGUACCUGAAUCGACAAACAAUUGGGGAUACUUGUCUCGCAUGUCCCUCUCAGUUUCCCAAGUAGCUUCCUCAACUGGACGAUGCUUCCAUUGAUAUUUCACGAACUUAAUCUCCUUGGUUCUCAACUUGCGCACAUCACGAUCAAGAAUUUCCACAUGUUCCUCUUCAUGUUGGAGGUCCUUGUCUAACACAAUUGAGUCCCAUUUAAUGAUAUAAUCCCCAUCACUAUAUUACAUCUUCAACACGGACACAUGAAAUACCGGAUGAACAUCCGAUUGAUUAGGAGGCAAAGCCAAUCUAUAUUCUACCGGUCCAACACAUUCAAGAAUCUCAAAGGGACCAAUGUAUCUAGGACAUAGCUUACCUUUCUUACCAAAUCUCAUCACCCCUUUCAUGAGUGAUACCUUAAGAAGACCAUUUUCACCGUCUUGAAAUGCCAUGUCUCUUACCUUAUGAUCCGCAUACUUCUUCUAUCUACUCUGGGUUGCUAAAAGCUUAGCUUGAAUACUCCUCACUUUAUCUUCAGCAUCCUUCAAUAAAUCAACCCCCAAAGGUUUCACAUCCCAGCCUCGAACCAUCCUAUGGGUGAUCUACAUCCCCUCCCAUAGAGUGCCUCAAAUGGUGCCAUAUCUAUGCUAGAGUGAUAACUAUUAUUAUAGGAAAAUUCACACAAAGGUAAGAACUUAUCCCAAUGUCCUUCAGAAUCAAUCACACGUGCGCUCAAUAUGUCUUCUAACACUUGAAUAGUCCUUUUUGACUGUCCGUCUAUUUGUGGAUUGAAGGUUGUACUAAAAGUGAGUUGUAUGCCCAAUUCAUCAUGUAAUUUUCUUCCAAAACAUGGAUGUGAAUUGGGUACGACGUUCUGAGAUGAUAGAGAGGGGCACCCCGUGCAACUUCACUAUCUCUUCCACGUAAACUUUAGCCAAUUGUUCAGCAUUAUAAUCUAUUCUUACCAGAAUAAAAUGGGAUGACUUGGUCAAUCUAUCAACCACUACCCAAAUAGAAUCAAACUUCCCCAAAGUCUUGGGAAUUGACAUUCAUUGAAGCAAACCUGCAGGUCUUUGAUAUUCAUACUUCACUUGUUGACAAUUUGGACACUUCGCCACAAACUCCGCUAUAUCCUUCUUCAUGCCCAGCCACCAAUAAAUUCACUUCAAAUCUUGAUACAUCUUGGUCACACCCGGAAUAAUAGAAUAUCGCGAACCAUGAGACUCUGCCAAUAAUUUCUCAAUUAAGUCAUCUAAUCUAGGUAGAAAUAUUCUCCCUUUAAAAUUGAGCAUACCAUCCGCAUCAAGAGUGUUCUCUUGUGCCUUACCAUUCACAGACUUCUUCCUAAGCUCCUCCAAAUUCUCAUCCUCAAAUUGUUUGGCCUUGAUCUCCUCAAUGAACGUGGCCCUUACUUCAAUACUAGCUAACACCCCACCUCUUUCUGAAAUGCCCAAUUGCAUGUACUUACACUCUAAGGUCUGAAUUUCCUUGGCUAAGGGUCGCUUGGAAACACUUAAGUAAACUAAACUACCCAUACUCACCGCUUUCCGACUCAAAGCGUCUGCCACUACAUUAGCCUUACCCGGAUGGUAUUGAAUGGUGACAUCAUAAUCUUUAAGUAACUCCAUCCACCUUCAUUGUCUCAAAUUCAGAUCAUUUUGAGUGAACAUAUGCUGCAAACUAUGAUGAUCAAUAAAUACCUCACAUUUAACACCACAGAGGUAAUGUCACCAGAUCUUAAGAGCAAACACUACCGCUGCCAAAACUAAAUCAUGUGUUGGAUAAUUCCUCUCAUGCACCUUCAAUUGACGUGAGGCAUAAGCUAUCACAUUCUUAUCCUGCAUCAACACCACACCCAAACCAGAAUAUGAAGCAUCACAAGAAAUAAUAAAAUAUUUACCUUCCACUAGUAAUGGUAGGAUAGGUGCAGUGGUCAAGAGAGUCUUGAGCUUUUGAAACCUCUCCUCACAUUUUUCGGUCCAUUCAAAUGGUAUCUCCUUUUUGGUCAAAUUGGUCAAGUGAGUGGCAAUAGAAGCAAAGUUCUUUAUAAAUCGACGAUAAUAGCUAGCGAGCCUAACAAAGCUCCUAACUUCUGUCACAGAGCUAGGCCGUACUCAAUUCUUAACCGCCUUAAUCUUUUGAGGAUCUACCAUUACACCUUCUUUUGAGACUAUAUGUCCCAAAAAUGCAAUCGAUGUCAACCAAAAUUCACAUUUAGAAAAUUUAGCAUACAACCUUUGGAUUAUGGAUUCAAGGUUCAUGAUCUCAUCUUUAUGGAUGAUUUCAUGAUGUUUAGAUGUACCUUGGAGUGUUGGAAUCAACUAGAAAACAUAGGUAUAUUGCUAAGGAACAAGUGCGAAAAGGUGGGGAACGAAUGGGGAGAACUGGCAUCCCUGGCGCUGUGAGAGUCGCGGGGCACCAGCCCUCAAAAUUCAGAGAACAGUUUGGGGCGCUCUGGCUGGAAAGUCGCCCCAGAGCCCCAUAUUUAGAGACUAUUUUGCGGCAAACUGAGAGGCGUGGCGCCCCAGCCCCUUCCCCAAAAAAUCCUGAAUUUUCUUUUUCAUUUUUAAACUCUAAACCCUCUAAUUUCACGUAGUUCUUUCGGCAAACUGAGAGACUAUUUAGAGACUAUUUUGCGGCAAACUGAGAGGCGUGGCGCCCCAGCCCCUUCCCCAAAAAAUCCUGAAUUUUCUUUUUCAUUUUUAAACUCUAAACCCUCUAAUUUCACGUAGUUCUUUCGGCAAACUGAGAGACUAUUUAGAGACUAUUUUGCGGCAAACUGAGAGGCGUGGCGCCCCAGCCCCUUCCCCAAAAAAUCCUGAAUUUUCUUUUUCAUUUUUAAACUCUAAACCCUCUAAUUUCACGUAGUUCUUUCCCUAAACACUUAGAAUCAUUUAUAUUCUCAAUAUAUGGUAGAUUCAAACUGAAAUUACACCCAAAAAACAUGAAUCAAAGUGCAAGAAACUUCAACAGCACAACCCAUAAGAAUUUAAACGAAACCUUCAACAAUGUUCAUCAAGAACUCAAUUUCUAAACUUUCAAAGACUUAAAUUCGCUGAAUUGAAUCAUGGUUGUCGCGUGGGUGAACUAACCCAAUGAUAUGUAAUCUCACAUACAUUGUAGGAAUCACCCCCGAUGAAAUCCACAAGCUAAACUCGACGAUCUUGACGAAUCUUGCUUCUCUUUUCCUUUCUCCUCUUCUUUUCACUUUUCUUCAAGCCGUACGGUAUUUUGGUAAAAGCGUAAACUGAUCUAAUUCUAAUUAUACCCUAACUUAAUUACCAAAAAUGAAAUAAAAUAAUUGGGCAAGGAAAACACCAAACUACCCUUUCAAAAUCCGGAUUGGACUUUCCUUAUUCCAACAACCCAACUUCCAAAGUGGAUAACUCACUCAUACGAACUCGGAAUUGCGCAAACUCAGCGGUAUUUGAAAUAUUAUUCUAAGAGCUUUCCUACCAUAUCUGGAAGUACCUCUAAGUCAUCCUUAGCUAGAAGUUAUGUCCAUUUGAAGUUGGUCAAAACUCAACUUAUUCUAACUUAACAAAAUUUCCAGAUUUUCAUUCUUUCAAAAAUGACUAUUUCCAAUUAUUAGCUUCUUCCUAGUUAUUUCAAAUUGCGAGAUGUUACAUGAUUGACCUUUUCAGAAUUUAUAUAUAGGAAUUGAGAAUGGAUAUGCAGUAGUGUCACUAUUAGUUGAUUGAGUUAUGCGGUCAAUAUGUUUCCGUAACUAAUCGAUUGUAAUUUUAUUUUUUCAUUAUCCUAUUAUGAAUCAAAUUUUAAUAUAUUGGUAUAUGUAAUUAAAUAUUAAUUGUAGGGUAUUAUGUGAAUACCAUUAGAUUUAUGAUAUUGGAUAAAUUGGGAUUUAAUCUUAGGCUUGAAACUUAAGAACUUGAUUAUAGAUUUGGGUGAGUUUUUGAGUCUAGUCUAAACCUAUGGUAAUAUGGAUAUUGUUAUUUUAGAAAUCUUAUUGCAAUUAUGUACUUGAAUAGAUUGCAUUAAUUUGGAAGCUCAACGAAAAGGGAAGGCUCAAGUUCCGGAGUGAACUAUUGAUUAAUUGAGGCAAGUGGAUUUCUAAACCCUUGUUAAGUGCAUAUAAUUGUGUAUUUCCUUGUGGUCUGUGUUGGAAAGUAAUGAGAAUUGGUGAUGGGUUGACUUAUCCAUGUUGAAUAAUUCUAAUGAUAGAAAAAUGGUAUUAAAAAGGCAAUAUGAUUAAUUGGUGGCGUGUGAUGUUUGAGAAUGAUUUGAAAAACUUGUUGAUUCUUUGUGUUGUUGUGAAUUUUGAAAUGUGAUGAAAAUGGUCAUCUCCUCAUUAUUGUGAACAUGUCAUUUGCAUUAUUUUGAUACAUGAUUGUGACAAGUGUUAUGUGAACUUAGAAAAAAUAAGAAAUUAAAGAGGAUGUAUCAUUUCGAGGGACAUGUCACGCGCCGCGAUGAAUACUAUUUUUGAGGGACGUAUCGCACCUCGCGAUGGAUUCUAUUAUCAAGGGAUGUGUCACGGGCAGUGAUGGAUGCAUGGAUAGAUAUGUCCCCCAUGGGUCCUAAACUAAGAGAUAGCGGGUGUGUAUCGUUAGGUCAGACAUGCAUCACUAUACUUGACAUUGCAUUUCAUUGCAUUGCACAUUUUUAUCAAUGAUGAACUUGAUCUUGUGUGUUGCUGAUCUUGUUAGUGCCUUUAUGUGGAUGUUGUGGUUGAUGAAUAUUAAGUUGAUGUUGAGGAUAUGUAAUUUGUUAGAGUGUUGUUGUUGAGUUGUGUACUAUGUAAACUGUGAACUGUUAGGUUGGGCUGAUUUUAUGCAGGUUGUAGUUGUGAAGGUUCGAAUGGGAUGUAAGGAGUACCUGUAUUAUGUCCCCUUAACUUGUGUUUAGAGGUUUGCUUGUUGAGUACCGUGUGGUCUGGUACUCAUCCCUUGCUAUUACAUUUUUGUAGGUUACAAGCUCGGAUCUUCGUGAAACUUUCUCUUCUCUCCUUAUCCGAGGCUUUCUGUGGAGAUUUGUGAGGUAGUUGUUUGUCAUCUCAGUAGACCUUCUUACUCCUAUUUAUGAUUUUGUUCUACUUUUGAGACAAUGUCAUGUGAAACUUACAUGUUUUCUUUAAAUUUCAUUAUAUUACAUUAGAGGUUUGUACACGUGAUAACCAGGUUUUGGAGGUAUUUUUAAGUUCAUUAUAAAUUUCUGCAUUUUUUUUGUAAUUGUUGAGUUUUAGGCUGACUUGUCUUGGUGGGAUAAGACGAGUGCCAACCCGUCAACUUUUGGGUCGUGACAAAAUGGUAUCUGAGCCCUAGGUUCAUAGGUCUCACAUGUGUACAAGACGAGUCUAAGUAGAGUCUCGAGGAUCGGUAUGAAGACGUCUAUACUUAUCUUCGAGAGGCUAUAGUGACUUUUAGGAAAAAACUUCACUUUUUGAAUAUCUAUCGUGCGUCGUUGGUCCAAUUUGAUUUUUAUCUCUUCAUUCCAUUCUCUUUCACUUAUAUGAUGACUCGUGCGUAGUUCCUCAUGUGAGUAGUUUGUGCCGUGUAUGACUUGAAUGUUAGACCUAGUACUAAAAUUGAAGUGAUAAACUUAUGGAAAUGAUAUGUGGUAAGAUUAAGAAUGUUCAGCAAUUUGAAAGGAUUAAGUAAGGUGAUGACUCGAUGAUGCAGUUGAACAAUGGUUCGAGGGACUUCAUAAACGUGUUAUCUUUUUUUUGGGUAGCUACCCCAGCAAAGGGAAUACUAUAAACUUGUGUGGUAUAGGCAAUAUCUUGAGUGGUUUGACAAUUGGAAGUGGAAUGAUUAAAGGCGUGGCUAGAUAAUGAACAAUGUAUCUUUGGAAACUACAAUUAGUAAAUUUAUCAUAACAUGAAUGAGUUGCUUAGCAAAUGAUGAGAAUGAUGUUGCACCAGUUGAAGACAUAAUAUCCACUACGAUUUCAUAAAUUGAGUAUAUAUCAAAAAGGGUCAUGAUAUGACUAUUAUAAUGGUAUCGAUUCUUACUUGGUUAUAGUUAUAGAGUAUGUUACUUCUGUCAUCGACCCAAUCUCAGAUAUAGUGCAUAUCGGUUUGGGUUAGAGACCAAACAAAUUUGGUAAUGUACUUUAGAUAGUUAAUGGGCAAAAAUGUGUGGGUUAAUUGAAUACAAUCCUUUUGGUGGGUAUGAUAUGUUCUAGUGGUGGAUCUAAUAAAUUUUUAUGGUGUGAUACUAGUGGUAUAUGGAAAUGAAUACACCGAUUGUCAAGUGCAAAUACUGACUACUUAAAGAGUUAUCAUUGGUAUCACAUGCUCGUAUAUUGAGAUUCGAUGUUGCAUUCACAUUUGAGAAACCAACUAGAUUGUUACUGCAGAUGUUUGGGGUUAAGAAGAGUGUAUAAGAAAUAUUUUAGUGGUGGAUCGUUGAUAUAGUAUUAAUGCGUUAAGUUGAGAAGUGUAUCCCGAGAGUUCUAAAUGAGGACCGGUGCUUUCAUCUUAAGGUCCAAGAGAAUGGAUAAGUACCAGAAUGACAAGCUUAUGGGUAAAGAAAGUCCCAAAGAGUAUACUUGUGUGAAGCCAAUUGAGAAUAUUAGUAAGAAAAAAAAUGCGUACAAAAUUGGGUUAAUCCUUUGGAUUUGUUUGGUAUAGUUGGGUUUGAGGUGUAAUCUUGAUGGAGAGGUCGAAUUUGUGGUGAUGGCAAGGGCUAACUAAGCAGGAUGUAAUAAGGGUUUAUGAUGGAUUGUGAUUGAGAUGCAACUAUAUAAUCAUGAUCGUUGGUUAAAUAAUUUUGUGUAUUGUAAUGACGACUUGUGAGUAUCUAAGGUUAUGGUUAGCUACUAUUUGGUGAAUAAAAUGGUCGUAGGAAAAGUUGUAGGAGGUUUUGAGACACCGCUUGAAUAGAAUUGAAAGAAACUAGAAUCAUAAAUGGAAAGAAUUAGUGGGAUGUAGCUUAGCUUUCAGAAAGAGCAGAGAAUAAGGAUAAUUACUUUGAUUGAAAGGGAAAAAUAUAUAUAUUAAGAAAGAGUGGAGAAUUGGAAUCAGAGACAAGUGGUUCCAUCUGUUUUGCUCUGGUCAUGGUAUUAGUGUUGCAUGUCAUCAGAUUGGUUAAAAAUUGUUUGGUAUGAUUUGAAAAAGAAGUCUAGAUACAUUUGAGUAGAGGGUGGUGAUAAAUGCUCUUAUGAUUUCAGUUUGGUUAUCUAGUAUAGUUUAAAUUUUAACGAUGAAUACAAUAAGAUCGAUGGAGAGACAAUCAAUGACGAGCUAAGAUAUGUGAAUUCAUAAAAAUCUUCAAGGUAUGAGCUAAUGUUGAUAUUUAAGAGGAUUGGGUUACACAAUUAGAUUUAGAAUUCAAGUUUUUCCUUGUAAGUGUACGUUUGUGGUAGUGUGUUUUGUCAAGUUAUGGAUUGGUAAGGUACGGAAUGACCGAUCGCAUUGGGUGUUGAGCAUUUUAAAGGACUUGUGCAUGGUUUGAAUCAUAAAGUUUGUUAUUUUUUUUAUUGUUAAAGGACUUAAGGAAGAGUUUCACUGAAAAGUUUUGGUUUAGAGUAUAAAGAGAAAUGUCAUGGGUUGUUGGUCAAAAGGAUAAGAUUGGUAAGCAAGUUAGCGAAGGGAACAAGAGUCUGAUAUGUUGAAGAGUUCAAGGCAGUUGAAUUUGGCAUCAUGGGAAGAAUUUAAGAAAGGUAAAGGAAUAAGACCUCUCCUAUAAACCCUUGGUUUGAUGUUGAAGGUCGUAUUGAUUUUUGCAUAUGAAUUUAGAUAUGAAUGUGAGAUGUGAACUAGUUCGGUACAAACUUACUAGCGGUUUAUCAUCGAACUUUUAUAAAGAUUGAGUUUUGGCCUAGGUGACAACAGUGAUGUAUGGAAGAUUUUAUGUAUUUAUGUGGGGGUUAGGUUGUUCAAAUUAUGGUAAUCGAAUUUGUCACGUCCCGAGCCUACACCCUAGGCGGGACUGACACUCAAGAACCAUUGUUGGCCCAAAUUGAACCCUUGGCCUGACUUACUUACUCAGCGAAAGACUCUAAGCAUUAUUACAAUGAUCAAAUGCACUUCUACUCAACUGUUUAAUAAAAUAACUUAGAACGUGUAAAGGUCAAACAUUCAACUUGGCCAAAAUGGCAACUCAAGUCUUUACAUAUGAAAUAAUAAUGUAAAGACAACUAAACUACUAAUUGUCUAUGAAGCCUCUAAAACAAGGAGGGAUGUCGGGACAAGACCCCCGAUCAUCCUAACAACUGAAAUACUAGGAAGCAAAGUAAAAGGAGUCCUCCGGAAGACUUUGAUUGCUCAACUGGAUCAACAGGGCCCUGGAUGCUGAUCCUGAUUUCCUGUGUCUGCAUCAUAAAACGAUGCAAGCCAAAUGGCAUCUCCAUGUGCUAGUAUGCGAGGGGAAUACUAAAUUAUAACGUAAGCUUGAAAAGAAUCUGAAAGGAACACUUACCUUGGCUUUACUCAACUCAUGAAUAACUUAACUCAAUAUAAAGCAAUAAUACACAUGCAAUAUAUAGAAAGCUUUUUCAAACAGUAGAAAGCAACUCAGUCUGUUAAUGAAAAUGUAAUAACAAUUCAACUUACUCAUAUAAUAAAGUAAUGCAAUAUUGUGAGAGUUUCUCUAACCGACAACCACCACUAUGAUCCUAAGUGAUGAUACAUUGUCUUUCACACACUACCAUAAUUGUCCUAUACUUUGCCAUCAUAUAGAACGCCUUAACUAAGUGGAUCCACUAGUCUAUGCUAAAAAUCACUUAAGGAAUCAUCUAAAAAGUAUGAUCCUUUACUACCCAUGAUGGCUACAUGGUUUAUUGAGACUUGAGUUAUUAUGAACUCGCACCCCCAUAUUAGUGCCCAAUACUACUCCCAAAAUAUACUCAGCUCAUAUGUUUUUAAAACAAAACUUCUUUCUUUGGUUUGAGAUAAUUACNNNNNNNNNNNNNNNNNNNNNNNNNNNNNNNNNNNNNNNNNNNNNNNNNNNNNNNNNNNNNNNNNNNNNNNNNNNNNNNNNNNNNNNNNNNNNNNNNNNNNNNNNNNNNNNNNNNNNNNNNNNNNNNNNNNNNNNNNNNNNNNNNNNNNNNNNNNNNNNNNNNNNNNNNNNNNNNNNNNNNNNNNNNNNNNNNNNNNNNNNNNNNNNNNNNNNNNNNNNNNNNNNNNNNNNNNNNNNNNNNNNNNNNNNNNNNNNNNNNNNNNNNNNNNNNNNNNNNNNNNNNNNNNNNNNNNNNNNNNNNNNNNNNNNNNNNNNNNNNNNNNNNNNNNNNNNNNNNNNNNNNNNNNNNNNNNNNNNNNNNNNNNNNNNNNNNNNNNNNNNNNNNNNNNNNNNNNNNNNNNNNNNNNNNNNNNNNNNNNNNNNNNNNNNNNNNNNNNNNNNNNNNNNNNNNNNNNNNNNNNNNNNNNNNNNNNNNNNNNNNNNNNNNNNNNNNNNNNNNNNNNNNNNNNNNNNNNNNNNNNNNNNNNNNNNNNNNNNNNNNNNNNNNNNNNNNNNNNNNNNNNNNNNNNNNNNNNNNNNNNNNNNNNNNNNNNNNNNNNNNNNNNNNNNNNNNNNNNNNNNNNNNNNNNNNNNNNNNNNNNNNNNNNNNNNNNNNNNNNNNNNNNNNNNNNNNNNNNNNNNNNNNNNNNNNNNNNNNNNNNNNNNNNNNNNNNNNNNNNNNNNNNNNNNNNNNNNNNNNNNNNNNNNNNNNNNNNNNNNNNNNNNNNNNNNNNNNNNNNNNNNNNNNNNNNNNNNNNNNNNNNNNNNNNNNNNNNNNNNNNNNNNNNNNNNNNNNNNNNNNNNNNNNNNNNNNNNNNNNNNNNNNNNNNNNNNNNNNNNNNNNNNNNNNNNNNNNNNNNNNNNNNNNNNNNNNNNNNNNNNNNNNNNNNNNNNNNNNNNNNNNNNNNNNNNNNNNNNNNNNNNNNNNNNNNNNNNNNNNNNNNNNNNNNNNNNNNNNNNNNNNNNNNNNNNNNNNNNNNNNNNNNNNNNNNNNNNNNNNNNNNNNNNNNNNNNNNNNNNNNNNNNNNNNNNNNNNNNNNNNNNNNNNNNNNNNNNNNNNNNNNNNNNNNNNNNNNNNNNNNNNNNNNNNNNNNNNNNNNNNNNNNNNNNNNNNNNNNNNNNNNNNNNNNNNNNNNNNNNNNNNNNNNNNNNNNNNNNNNNNNNNNNNNNNNNNNNNNNNNNNNNNNNNNNNNNNNNNNNNNNNNNNNNNNNNNNNNNNNNNNNNNNNNNNNNNNNNNNNNNNNNNNNNNNNNNNNNNNNNNNNNNNNNNNNNNNNNNNNNNNNNNNNNNNNNNNNNNNNNNNNNNNNNNNNNNNNNNNNNNNNNNNNNNNNNNNNNNNNNNNNNNNNNNNNNNNNNNNNNNNNNNNNNNNNNNNNNNNNNNNNNNNNNNNNNNNNNNNNNNNNNNNNNNNNNNNNNNNNNNNNNNNNNNNNNNNNNNNNNNNNNNNNNNNNNNNNNNNNNNNNNNNNNNNNNNNNNNNNNNNNNNNNNNNNNNNNNNNNNNNNNNNNNNNNNNNNNNNNNNNNNNNNNNNNNNNNNNNNNNNNNNNNNNNNNNNNNNNNNNNNNNNNNNNNNNNNNNNNNNNNNNNNNNNNNNNNNNNNNNNNNNNNNNNNNNNNNNNNNNNNNNNNNNNNNNNNNNNNNNNNNNNNNNNNNNNNNNNNNNNNNNNNNNNNNNNNNNNNNNNNNNNNNNNNNNNNNNNNNNNNNNNNNNNNNNNNNNNNNNNNNNNNNNNNNNNNNNNNNNNNNNNNNNNNNNNNNNNNNNNNNNNNNNNNNNNNNNNNNNNNNNNNNNNNNNNNNNNNNNNNNNNNNNNNNNNNNNNNNNNNNNNNNNNNNNNNNNNNNNNNNNNNNNNNNNNNNNNNNNNNNNNNNNNNNNNNNNNNNNNNNNNNNNNNNNNNNNNNNNNNNNNNNNNNNNNNNNNNNNNNNNNNNNNNNNNNNNNNNNNNNNNNNNNNNNNNNNNNNNNNNNNNNNNNNNNNNNNNNNNNNNNNNNNNNNNNNNNNNNNNNNNNNNNNNNNNNNNNNNNNNNNNNNNNNNNNNNNNNNNNNNNNNNNNNNNNNNNNNNNNNNNNNNNNNNNNNNNNNNNNNNNNNNNNNNNNNNNNNNNNNNNNNNNNNNNNNNNNNNNNNNNNNNNNNNNNNNNNNNNNNNNNNNNNNNNNNNNNNNNNNNNNNNNNNNNNNNNNNNNNNNNNNNNNNNNNNNNNNNNNNNNNNNNNNNNNNNNNNNNNNNNNNNNNNNNNNNNNNNNNNNNNNNNNNNNNNNNNNNNNNNNNNNNNNNNNNNNNNNNNNNNNNNNNNNNNNNNNNNNNNNNNNNNNNNNNNNNNNNNNNNNNNNNNNNNNNNNNNNNNNNNNNNNNNNNNNNNNNNNNNNNNNNNNNNNNNNNNNNNNNNNNNNNNNNNNNNNNNNNNNNNNNNNNNNNNNNNNNNNNNNNNNNNNNNNNNNNNNNNNNNNNNNNNNNNNNNNNNNNNNNNNNNNNNNNNNNNNNNNNNNNNNNNNNNNNNNNNNNNNNNNNNNNNNNNNNNNNNNNNNNNNNNNNNNNNNNNNNNNNNNNNNNNNNNNNNNNNNNNNNNNNNNNNNNNNNNNNNNNNNNNNNNNNNNNNNNNNNNNNNNNNNNNNNNNNNNNNNNNNNNNNNNNNNNNNNNNNNNNNNNNNNNNNNNNNNNNNNNNNNNNNNNNNNNNNNNNNNNNNNNNNNNNNNNNNNNNNNNNNNNNNNNNNNNNNNNNNNNNNNNNNNNNNNNNNNNNNNNNNNNNNNNNNNNNNNNNNNNNNNNNNNNNNNNNNNNNNNNNNNNNNNNNNNNNNNNNNNNNNNNNNNNNNNNNNNNNNNNNNNNNNNNNNNNNNNCGAAAAGGUGGGGAACGAAUGGGGAGAACUGGCAUCCCUGGCGCUGUGAGAGUCGCGGGGCACCAGCCCUCAAAAUUCAGAGAACAGUUUGGGGCGCUCUGGCUGGAAAGUCGCCCCAGAGCCCCAUAUUUAGAGACUAUUUUGCGGCAAACUGAGAGGCGUGGCGCCCCAGCCCCUUCCCCAAAAAAUCCUGAAUUUUCUUUUUCAUUUUUAAACUCUAAACCCUCUAAUUUCACGUAGUUCUUUCGGCAAACUGAGAGACUAUUUAGAGACUAUUUUGCGGCAAACUGAGAGGCGUGGCGCCCCAGCCCCUUCCCCAAAAAAUCCUGAAUUUUCUUUUUCAUUUUUAAACUCUAAACCCUCUAAUUUCACGUAGUUCUUUCGGCAAACUGAGAGACUAUUUAGAGACUAUUUUGCGGCAAACUGAGAGGCGUGGCGCCCCAGCCCCUUCCCCAAAAAAUCCUGAAUUUUCUUUUUCAUUUUUAAACUCUAAACCCUCUAAUUUCACGUAGUUCUUUCCCUAAACACUUAGAAUCAUUUAUAUUCUCAAUAUAUGGUAGAUUCAAACUGAAAUUACACCCAAAAAACAUGAAUCAAAGUGCAAGAAACUUCAACAGCACAACCCAUAAGAAUUUAAACGAAACCUUCAACAAUGUUCAUCAAGAACUCAAUUUCUAAACUUUCAAAGACUUAAAUUCGCUGAAUUGAAUCAUGGUUGUCGCGUGGGUGAACUAACCCAAUGAUAUGUAAUCUCACAUACAUUGUAGGAAUCACCCCCGAUGAAAUCCACAAGCUAAACUCGACGAUCUUGACGAAUCUUGCUUCUCUUUUCCUUUCUCCUCUUCUUUUCACUUUUCUUCAAGCCGUACGGUAUUUUGGUAAAAGCGUAAACUGAUCUAAUUCUAAUUAUACCCUAACUUAAUUACCAAAAAUGAAAUAAAAUAAUUGGGCAAGGAAAACACCAAACUACCCUUUCAAAAUCCGGAUUGGACUUUCCUUAUUCCAACAACCCAACUUCCAAAAGUGGAUAACUCACUCAUACGAACUCGGAAUUGCGCAAACUCAGCGGUAUUUGAAAUAUUAUUCUAAGAGCUUUCCUACCAUAUCUGGAAGUACCUCUAAGUCAUCCUUAGCUAGAAGUUAUGUCCAAUUGGACUUUCCUUAUUCCAACAACCCAACUUCCAAAGUGGAUAACUCACUCAUACGAACUCGGAAUUGCGCAAACUCAGCGGUAUUUGAAAUAUUAUUCUAAGAGCUUUCCUACCAUAUCUGGAAGUACCUCUAAGUCAUCCUUAGCUAGAAGUUAUGUCCAUUUGAAGUUGGUCAAAACUCAACUUAUUCUAACUUAACAAAAUUUCCAGAUUUUCAUUCUUUCAAAAAUGACUAUUUCCAAUUAUUAGCUUCUUCCUAGUUAUUUCAAAUUGCGAGAUGUUACAUGAUUGACCUUUUCAGAAUUUAUAUAUAGGAAUUGAGAAUGGAUAUGCAGUAGUGUCACUAUUAGUUGAUUGAGUUAUGCGGUCAAUAUGUUUCCGUAACUAAUCGAUUGUAAUUUUAUUUUUUCAUUAUCCUAUUAUGAAUCAAAUUUUAAUAUAUUGGUAUAUGUAAUUAAAUAUUAAUUGUAGGGUAUUAUGUGAAUACCAUUAGAUUUAUGAUAUUGGAUAAAUUGGGAUUUAAUCUUAGGCUUGAAACUUAAGAACUUGAUUAUAGAUUUGGGUGAGUUUUUGAGUCUAGUCUAAACCUAUGGUAAUAUGGAUAUUGUUAUUUUAGAAAUCUUAUUGCAAUUAUGUACUUGAAUAGAUUGCAUUAAUUUGGAAGCUCAACGAAAAGGGAAGGCUCAAGUUCCGGAGUGAACUAUUGAUUAAUUGAGGCAAGUGGAUUUCUAAACCCUUGUUAAGUGCAUAUAAUUGUGUAUUUCCUUGUGGUCUGUGUUGGAAAGUAAUGAGAAUUGGUGAUGGGUUGACUUAUCCAUGUUGAAUAAUUCUAAUGAUAGAAAAAUGGUAUUAAAAAGGCAAUAUGAUUAAUUGGUGGCGUGUGAUGUUUGAGAAUGAUUUGAAAAACUUGUUGAUUCUUUGUGUUGUUGUGAAUUUUGAAAUGUGAUGAAAAUGGUCAUCUCCUCAUUAUUGUGAACAUGUCAUUUGCAUUAUUUUGAUACAUGAUUGUGACAAGUGUUAUGUGAACUUAGAAAAAAUAAGAAAUUAAAGAGGAUGUAUCAUUUCGAGGGACAUGUCACGCGCCGCGAUGAAUACUAUUUUUGAGGGACGUAUCGCACCUCGCGAUGGAUUCUAUUAUCAAGGGAUGUGUCACGGGCAGUGAUGGAUGCAUGGAUAGAUAUGUCCCCCAUGGGUCCUAAACUAAGAGAUAGCGGGUGUGUAUCGUUAGGUCAGACAUGCAUCACUAUACUUGACAUUGCAUUUCAUUGCAUUGCACAUUUUUAUCAAUGAUGAACUUGAUCUUGUGUGUUGCUGAUCUUGUUAGUGCCUUUAUGUGGAUGUUGUGGUUGAUGAAUAUUAAGUUGAUGUUGAGGAUAUGUAAUUUGUUAGAGUGUUGUUGUUGAGUUGUGUACUAUGUAAACUGUGAACUGUUAGGUUGGGCUGAUUUUAUGCAGGUUGUAGUUGUGAAGGUUCGAAUGGGAUGUAAGGAGUACCUGUAUUAUGUCCCCUUAACUUGUGUUUAGAGGUUUGCUUGUUGAGUACCGUGUGGUUUGGUAAUCACCGCUUGCUUCUACAUUUUUGUAGGUUAUGAGCCCGUAUCUUCGUGACACUUUUUAUUCUCUUCUUAUCUGAGGCUUCUUGUGGAGACUUGUGAGGUAGUUGUUUGUCAUCUCAGUAGACCUUCUUACUCCUAUUUAUGAUUUUGUUCUACUUUUGAGACAAUGUCAUGUGAAACUUACAUGUUUUCUUUAAAUUUCAUUAUAUUACAUUAGAGGUUUGUACACGUGAUAACCAGGUUUUGGAGGUAUUUUUAAGUUCAUUAUAAAUUUCUGCAUUUUUUUUGUAAUUGUUGAGUUUUAGGCUGACUUGUCUUGGUGGGAUAAGACGAGUGCCAACCCGUCAACUUUUGGGUCGUGACAAAAUGGUAUCUGAGCCCUAGGUUCAUAGGUCUCACAUGUGUACAAGACGAGUCUAAGUAGAGUCUCGAGGAUCGGUAUGAAGACGUCUAUACUUAUCUUCGAGAGGCUAUAGUGACUUUUAGGAAAAAACUUCACUUUUUGAAUAUCUAUCGUGCGUCGUUGGUCCAAUUUGAUUUUUAUCUCUUCAUUCCAUUCUCUUUCACUUAUAUGAUGACUCGUGCGUAGUUCCUCAUGUGAGUAGUUUGUGCCGUGUAUGACUUGAAUGUUAGACCUAGUACUAAAAUUGAAGUGAUAAACUUAUGGAAAUGAUAUGUGGUAAGAUUAAGAAUGUUCAGCAAUUUGAAAGGAUUAAGUAAGGUGAUGACUCGAUGAUGCAGUUGAACAAUGGUUCGAGGGACUUCAUAAACGUGUUAUCUUUUUUUUGGGUAGCUACCCCAGCAAAGGGAAUACUAUAAACUUGUGUGGUAUAGGCAAUAUCUUGAGUGGUUUGACAAUUGGAAGUGGAAUGAUUAAAGGCGUGGCUAGAUAAUGAACAAUGUAUCUUUGGAAACUACAAUUAGUAAAUUUAUCAUAACAUGAAUGAGUUGCUUAGCAAAUGAUGAGAAUGAUGUUGCACCAGUUGAAGACAUAAUAUCCACUACGAUUUCAUAAAUUGAGUAUAUAUCAAAAAGGGUCAUGAUAUGACUAUUAUAAUGGUAUCGAUUCUUACUUGGUUAUAGUUAUAGAGUAUGUUACUUCUGUCAUCGACCCAAUCUCAGAUAUAGUGCAUAUCGGUUUGGGUUAGAGACCAAACAAAUUUGGUAAUGUACUUUAGAUAGUUAAUGGGCAAAAAUGUGUGGGUUAAUUGAAUACAAUCCUUUUGGUGGGUAUGAUAUGUUCUAGUGGUGGAUCUAAUAAAUUUUUAUGGUGUGAUACUAGUGGUAUAUGGAAAUGAAUACACCGAUUGUCAAGUGCAAAUACUGACUACUUAAAGAGUUAUCAUUGGUAUCACAUGCUCGUAUAUUGAGAUUCGAUGUUGCAUUCACAUUUGAGAAACCAACUAGAUUGUUACUGCAGAUGUUUGGGGUUAAGAAGAGUGUAUAAGAAAUAUUUUAGUGGUGGAUCGUUGAUAUAGUAUUAAUGCGUUAAGUUGAGAAGUGUAUCCCGAGAGUUCUAAAUGAGGACCGGUGCUUUCAUCUUAAGGUCCAAGAGAAUGGAUAAGUACCAGAAUGACAAGCUUAUGGGUAAAGAAAGUCCCAAAGAGUAUACUUGUGUGAAGCCAAUUGAGAAUAUUAGUAAGAAAAAAAAUGCGUACAAAAUUGGGUUAAUCCUUUGGAUUUGUUUGGUAUAGUUGGGUUUGAGGUGUAAUCUUGAUGGAGAGGUCGAAUUUGUGGUGAUGGCAAGGGCUAACUAAGCAGGAUGUAAUAAGGGUUUAUGAUGGAUUGUGAUUGAGAUGCAACUAUAUAAUCAUGAUCGUUGGUUAAAUAAUUUUGUGUAUUGUAAUGACGACUUGUGAGUAUCUAAGGUUAUGGUUAGCUACUAUUUGGUGAAUAAAAUGGUCGUAGGAAAAGUUGUAGGAGGUUUUGAGACACCGCUUGAAUAGAAUUGAAAGAAACUAGAAUCAUAAAUGGAAAGAAUUAGUGGGAUGUAGCUUAGCUUUCAGAAAGAGCAGAGAAUAAGGAUAAUUACUUUGAUUGAAAGGGAAAAAUAUAUAUAUUAAGAAAGAGUGGAGAAUUGGAAUCAGAGACAAGUGGUUCCAUCUGUUUUGCUCUGGUCAUGGUAUUAGUGUUGCAUGUCAUCAGAUUGGUUAAAAAUUGUUUGGUAUGAUUUGAAAAAGAAGUCUAGAUACAUUUGAGUAGAGGGUGGUGAUAAAUGCUCUUAUGAUUUCAGUUUGGUUAUCUAGUAUAGUUUAAAUUUUAACGAUGAAUACAAUAAGAUCGAUGGAGAGACAAUCAAUGACGAGCUAAGAUAUGUGAAUUCAUAAAAAUCUUCAAGGUAUGAGCUAAUGUUGAUAUUUAAGAGGAUUGGGUUACACAAUUAGAUUUAGAAUUCAAGUUUUUCCUUGUAAGUGUACGUUUGUGGUAGUGUGUUUUGUCAAGUUAUGGAUUGGUAAGGUACGGAAUGACCGAUCGCAUUGGGUGUUGAGCAUUUUAAAGGACUUGUGCAUGGUUUGAAUCAUAAAGUUUGUUAUUUUUUUUAUUGUUAAAGGACUUAAGGAAGAGUUUCACUGAAAAGUUUUGGUUUAGAGUAUAAAGAGAAAUGUCAUGGGUUGUUGGUCAAAAGGAUAAGAUUGGUAAGCAAGUUAGCGAAGGGAACAAGAGUCUGAUAUGUUGAAGAGUUCAAGGCAGUUGAAUUUGGCAUCAUGGGAAGAAUUUAAGAAAGGUAAAGGAAUAAGACCUCUCCUAUAAACCCUUGGUUUGAUGUUGAAGGUCGUAUUGAUUUUUGCAUAUGAAUUUAGAUAUGAAUGUGAGAUGUGAACUAGUUCGGUACAAACUUACUAGCGGUUUAUCAUCGAACUUUUAUAAAGAUUGAGUUUUGGCCUAGGUGACAACAGUGAUGUAUGGAAGAUUUUAUGUAUUUAUGUGGGGGUUAGGUUGUUCAAAUUAUGGUAAUCGAAUUUGUCACGUCCCGAGCCUACACCCUAGGCGGGACUGACACUCAAGAACCAUUGUUGGCCCAAAUUGAACCCUUGGCCUGACUUACUUACUCAGCGAAAGACUCUAAGCAUUAUUACAAUGAUCAAAUGCACUUCUACUCAACUGUUUAAUAAAAUAACUUAGAACGUGUAAAGGUCAAACAUUCAACUUGGCCAAAAUGGCAACUCAAGUCUUUACAUAUGAAAUAAUAAUGUAAAGACAACUAAACUACUAAUUGUCUAUGAAGCCUCUAAAACAAGGAGGGAUGUCGGGACAAGACCCCCGAUCAUCCUAACAACUGAAAUACUAGGAAGCAAAGUAAAAGGAGUCCUCCGGAAGACUUUGAUUGCUCAACUGGAUCAACAGGGCCCUGGAUGCUGAUCCUGAUUUCCUGUGUCUGCAUCAUAAAACGAUGCAAGCCAAAUGGCAUCUCCAUGUGCUAGUAUGCGAGGGGAAUACUAAAUUAUAACGUAAGCUUGAAAAGAAUCUGAAAGGAACACUUACCUUGGCUUUACUCAACUCAUGAAUAACUUAACUCAAUAUAAAGCAAUAAUACACAUGCAAUAUAUAGAAAGCUUUUUCAAACAGUAGAAAGCAACUCAGUCUGUUAAUGAAAAUGUAAUAACAAUUCAACUUACUCAUAUAAUAAAGUAAUGCAAUAUUGUGAGAGUUUCUCUAACCGACAACCACCACUAUGAUCCUAAGUGAUGAUACAUUGUCUUUCACACACUACCAUAAUUGUCCUAUACUUUGCCAUCAUAUAGAACGCCUUAACUAAGUGGAUCCACUAGUCUAUGCUAAAAAUCACUUAAGGAAUCAUCUAAAAAGUAUGAUCCUUUACUACCCAUGAUGGCUACAUGGUUUAUUGAGACUUGAGUUAUUAUGAACUCGCACCCCCAUAUUAGUGCACAAUACUACUCCCAAAAUAUACUCAGCUCAUAUGUUUUUAAAACAAAACUUCUUUCUUUGGUUUGAGAUAAUUACUCAAAACUUAGCUUGAAAGCUCUCUAGGAAAUCAGUGUUUCCCUUCUUGCUCAAAUGUGAAAACAUUUUUAACUCUUGAAAAUACUUGUUCUCGUAUAAUCUUUGAAGAAAUGAACUUUACUCUUACUCUUUCCUCAACUCAAAGCUUAAGUCUUAAAACAAUGUUAAAACGUUUGUGAAAGACUUUUGAAAUACUUUAUGAACUUUUCUCUUGACUUGACUCUUAACUCUAGACUUGACAUUUAACUUUACUUAAAUUUGAAUUUAUGGAUUCAAGGAUUGUGAUUUGUGAUAGGAAGGAUCUCAUGAUGUUUAGGAGUGUUUUUAGAAAUCACUUCUUGGAAACUAGUCCGCGAUGCAGAGAUGUAUUUAAAUAUUUGGUCGUGAAAAUAAUUUUUGAGGCGGAACGGUCUGUGACCGCUCCGCAACGCGAGGAGAAUUUUUCUCAUCUUGAGGAACCUCGGACCUAGUACCCAGAUUAUCCUGACUUUUUCCUUAUUCAUUUUCCAGCCCCAAUUCACCUAAACUCGAUUCUUUUUCCCAAAUUCUCUUUAAAUUUAGAUAGCCAGCAAAUGUACCCAAGAACCUAACUCAAAACAACUCUAAAACUCGACGCGAUAACCUCAAGAAAUCCUCAAUUCAGCCCAAUUCAAGAACACAUAUCAAGAACAUCAACUUUCAACCCUUUUUAGAACGAAUUUCACUGAAAUAAACAUGAUUGGCACAUGGGUGAACGAACCCAACUCUAUGAAAGUCUCAUAUACCUCGUAGGGAUCACCGCUUGACGAAAUCCACAAGUGAUUCUUGAAGAACUUGACGAUUCUUGCUCCUUCUCCUCUUCUUUUCUCUUCUCUCAAAACCCUAACUUAGUUUUCAAAAGCGUUAACUGAACAAGUUCAUAUAAUGGUUGUUUAAAGUUGACCAAAAACACAAACUUAACAUAACUUAACAAAUUUCCAGAUUUUUCAUUCAUUCUCAAUUAGCGAGUUGUUACAAUUCUAACUCUUUCUAGUUCUUUCAAUUAGCGAGAUGUUACAGAAUUAUGUAUAAACAAAAGGAUGGGAUACGGUUCUACAUGAUUAUUAAAGAAUUGGAGUUAGAUUGAUACUACCUUAUUGAUGAGACUAUACAUGUAACACCCCAUAUCCGAAACAGACCAAAAAUGCAGAUUUUGAGAAGUUGCAGGUGUAACUUACGGUCACCAUCCACGGACCGUAGGUCAGACCAUGGCCCGUGCUAGUGGUCCGUGGUUCACCACUGCAACCCCUCCCCAAACCAGCUCAGAAAAUUUAGUAAGUCCCGACUCACGGACAGGCCCACGGUCCGUAGAUCAGACCACGGUCUGUGGUCUUUGUCCGUGGAUUGAGACCUCCUUUAACUAGCCUCUGACACAAAUUACGGUCGACCAGCACGGACCGUCAUUUGAUCCACGGUCCGUAGGUCUUACCGUAGAUGAGGGUCAGCAGCCAGUUAGCUGAAAAUUAUUGAUGGGUCAACUUCAGAUGGUCAUAAAUUUUAGCACAAAAUGAAUUAGGUGUCCCAUGACCUAUUAUAUGAUAGAUAAUUUAAUUAUCUUUCCAACUCCACCGAGUUUGCUAAAUUACGACCUCCGAGUAAAAAGUUAUGCUCGUUUUAGGGAAGGCCUGUCGAGCAGGCUUGACUUACGGACACAAUCUACGGACCGUAGAUUGACCUACGGCCCGUAGGUCCAAUCCGUAGGUCACUCCGACAGCAGUUAAUUCAGGGGUCUUUUGGUCUUUUCCUAUUUCGUUUAACCCCUAAGAUACGUCGUUUAAACCCUAAAUCAUGAGGUUUUAAUCAGUUUAAGCCUAGAAACAUAACUAGAACUUAUCCAAGUCAAAUCAUUAAUCAAAACUUAGAAAAUUAGAAGCUAGAGAGGAGAAAAAGGUCACUAGUUCAAGAACGCAGCAUGGUUCCAUCAGUUCUAGCUCCGAAAUCGAAAGAUUUCUCCGUGGAAUUCGUCACCAGGUAUGUGGGAUUUCACUAGUGGGUUCCUUUCGCCCAUUAGAUCCCUAGAAUUCAGUCAGAUUCUUGAUUCUCCAUAUCUUGUAUAUACCUAGGGUUUCUAAAACCUUGGAGAAUUGUUGUGAUUUAGUUGUUAUAGUACUCUUAAUCAAAUUAUCAUGUUUUCGUGAAAUCGUUUCUUAGUUCCUUGCAUGAAACUCAUAACCCUAAUUGUGUAGAUUCUCUUAGUUCAUGAAUCACACUUGCUAUGUCAGUUAAACAGAUAAACACGCUCCAGCUUCGAAUGUUACAUUGUCAGUUCCUAAAUGUUGCAUUCUCAGAUUUGCAUGUCAGAACGUUGAGCUAUCCAGUAUUUCAGUUAUAUUGUGUCUCACACAUUUCUAGUUGGGAGGAGACUUAGUACUGAGUGGACUAGGGUUCAACAUACCCUCAUAGUCUCAAAACUACGUGCCUUCGUAGGUUUAUAAGUCCCUCAUGUAGGCAUCAUAUUUAGUGAUCACGCCAGUCAUGCCUUUAUACCCUUGACAAGGUAUAUUGGGUCCUCUCGAUGGGGUGUAUACAUCGGACUCCACGUUCAGCAUUGGGAGUAGCAUAAUACCGAGUUGGACUAGGGUUUCAGCGUACCCAUAUAGUCCCAGAACUACGAGCCACGUAGGUGUAAGUCCCCUCUGUGGGAAACAUCAGCUUAGUGAUCACGCCAGCAUGCCUCUAUACCUCUGGCAGGGUAUAUUGGGUCCUCUCGAUGGGGCGUAUACAUCGGACUCCACAUUUAGCUCAUGUGGUUUUAUGUCGGGUAUUAGUAGCUCCCACCGUUCAGUCAGACUCUAUUGCAUUGACCAUAUUUCAGUACAGUCAGUAUUCAGCUAGACAUGUAAAAGAGAUAGGCAUUUAUACCAAAAUGAGUUUGCAUUCAAAUGGGUAUGAAUAUUUAAGUCUUGAUACAAGCUGAGAUUGAAGAAUCCAAAAGACCCAAGCCCAAAUUCUUGGAGUUGAAACCCUUUGAAUCUUCAAGUUCUUCAAAACCCUCACCAAACUUAGAACUCAAAAAUAAAAGCUAAAACUUUAUGAUAGAACUAUGUAAAAUUCAAUAUUAAAAAUCUGAUAUUAAACGAGUAUUUAUAGUUUUUAAAGAUUUGUGUUGCAGCGGAUCACUCGGCAAUAUUAGUCGGAAUCGCCAAUCAACUCGGCGAUUCUCCCUUUGGUGUAGUUCAUCGCCGUCGUGCGUUAGCCUUCAGCAUUGUCGUGUUUUGGAUCAUUAGUCGACCUAUUACUACUUCGCAAAACUGCUCGAUGACACGCCGACUGCUCCUUUUCACCGCCGACUUGAUCCUCUUAUUCAGGGCUCAACACACUGGAACAAAAGGCGAGGUGAGAUCAUUUGGUGACACGCCGAAUGGCUUUGGUGAUCCGCUGAUCUUCAUUUCUCCGUUCUUUCAACUUCUUUGUUCCAUUUUGCUCAAUUGUGUCCAUGCCUUUGUCUCCAAGUCUAAAUACCUGAAACUCAAGGUAUUUUAUUAGUUUUUGAGACAAAAUAUGCAAUUCAAGACACUAAACCUAUUAAAUCGUAGCCCUGAAUGAGUCCAAUUUGUGGACUCAUCAACACCCCCAACUUAAACUUUUGUUUGUCCUCAAGUAAAACUAAAGUUCAGCAAUUCAAAAAGGAUGUCUCAAAUAAUGUUACACAAGAUUCAAUCAUGAAUGCACACAACAAGAAUCAAUUUACUUAUGCAAAGCUCAAAUGUGCACUCAAAGAUUCAUGUUGUGACUCACCACUAUCAAAGAAUCUCGUGUUCACAAUACUUACUUCAAAUGCAAGUUCAAGCUCAACUAUAGUGUUCAAAUGCCCUCACAUAAAGAAUGAUUUCAUUUUCACACACAAUGAGUUAAUCACUUAAAUGUUCCGGAAUCAAAUGCAACGCUCACACUCAAAGAGAAGAACACAAUGCAUGCUUUCACCCAUAGUCUUGCCCGUAUUUUCCAAUCAGCGUUUGUUUCAGCUCACCCAAGAUCACUAAGGUCUUUCAAGGCUUGUAACGGGGUUUAGUGCAAAGGUAUGGUCAUUUAGGCUCAGUGACUUUUGUCCUCAUGAAAUGUGGUGCUCUAAACACUUCGUUUCCUUUCCCUACAUCAUUUUCAUUAGUGCAUCAUAAGUCAUCCUAUUAGUCACUUCCCAUGGAUUGUUUGAAACCCUAUUUCUUUGGUACUUUAUUCCACAACUAUCUUUUUCAUUCUUUUUCUUUUUCUUUUUCUUUUCUCUUUUAUAUAUAUAUAUAUAGAGGGUUUCCAUUUUUCUCAAAACCAUGGGUAAGAGAAGACUUUCCUUGUACUUCUUGACUUUCCCUUAUUUUUUUCACCACACCCCCAACUUAGGCUUUUGUCCUAAGUUGGCUAUUCAACUAAACCACAAUUUCAAGAGGAUUAUGGGUAAUAGAUAAAGAAAGGUUAUUGUUUUCAUCAUGUCUCCUUCAAAGAAAGGUAAGGCUCAAGGGGUGUUCAAACGAGGUUCACACACACUCACAAGGUAGGCCACAAAAGAGGUAUAUGUCAAAUUGGCUCACACUCUUAGAAGUUGCCUAAGAUCAUAUCAAGAGAUAGCAUCACUUAGUUGAUCGGACCAAUGGGGCAAAUUCUAGUAUCCAUCAUACAUAGUUCACAGGUGAGCUUAUCACACAAGGCAUCGACACUAAAGUCAAACAAGACUCCACACUUUCGCUAGUGUGCAACGGUCAUCACAAGAGAAUCGAUUCGACAAUAGGCUAGUCAAAACGAGAUGCAAAGAGUUCACAUAUUGUCUAUGCAACAUCAUUUGGCCUCAUCAUAGCCAUACAUUCAUGUUCGUUCGAUUGCAAGCACUAUUCAAGUCAUCGGUAUUGAUCGAAACUGAGAUUCAAAUUUGCCAAGGAAUAGCCAUAUUCUUAUGCAUAUAAGAGGUAGCGAAAAUUUGCUAAAUUUUUUUUUUGGAAGGGUCAAAAUCAUUUUUCAAUUAAAACAAAAGGGAGCCAUAAGUUCAAGCAUCCACAAAAAUGCAGUAUUAAGGCAAUUUUAAACAGAACAACCCAAAAUAUAUCGACAAAACAUGAGCACGAGUAGAACAUAAAAGUGGACCUCACCCCACCAUAAAUAAAAGCAUUUGUCCUCAAAUACAAAUGAAAGUAUCCAAAAGUAAAAAUAGAGAAAGAUAGAGAGGGCGGUAAAGAGGGAUCCUGUCUACGCAGUCGCUCCAUCUGUCGGGGCCUCAGUGCCCGGAGUGACCUUAGAAGGAAUAGCAGUGUCAGAUCCACUAGGGGCUGCUGUGGACGUCUCAGUCAGAGAUUUUUGGAUCACCAGCUGCAAAAUAGUCCCCACAAGAUCUGACAAAUCUCUAAAUAUGCUCUACUCUCGGCUCUCCAUCAUCUCCUCCUCAUGUACUGCUAUCAGCUCCUCGUCGAUCUCUGCAUCUGAAUCGUCAUAUGCUGUGCCACCCCUCUGUACAUCUCCUGUGGUAGCCGGAGGAAUCCCUGAGGUCUCAGGAGCAUCCUCGUCAUUUGCACCCCACAUCAAUGAGGUGAAGUCAGUAGACUUCAAAUAAUCUACGUCCUUCCUCAAAUCUGCCACUUCGGCUUUUACAGCCAAAAACUCGGAUGUCUCCCCCUGUCUGCUCUCACAAGCAGUGACUCUAGUAGCCAGAUCAUCAACAGAAACCCUAAGGGGGGUCAGUGCAGCCAAGAUAGCACUAUCGAUCAUCCCUGGAAUGGAUCUCUCUAACCGAGUCGCUCUCACAUCCGCUGAAUAGGCCAACUGUCCCAUCUUCAGGAUCAUGGCCUGAGUAAUCCUGGAAGGCUGGGAGGAGGAAGAAGCCCCUGGGACCUGUGAAGAAGAGGAAGGAGAGGAUGUACCAGAAGGCUCAGAGGCCGGAGUAGGCGAAAGUGCCUCUGAUGGUAAUGAGUCAACAUCAACUUUCGGGAAAAUAUCUGUCGGAGCUGCUCUCCUCAUAUCAACCUCAUCUCGUGUGAACUCGGCCUCAAUACGCCGGAUGUCAGUGGAGGAAUAUGGGGUGACCUCAAUAUCUCUCGUAGUGUCCCGAGGUAUUCCAGCACACUGGUACAACUCCAUGAUCAAGACUGGGAAUGGCAGAGAAGUCAGCUUUUGCUUGGCCCUCAUGGCCAUCUCUUGUGAAAUCAGCAGCCCCAGAUCGAUAUGCCUCCUUGACAUGAUAGAACCAAGGCAAUCUGACUUAGGAUGGCGCAAAAUGGACUCAUUUUGGGAUGGCAGGAUGGUGCAGCUGAUGAAAAUAAACCAGAACAUGGCAGCGAUGUACAAGUCCCUCUUCUCAAUAGGUGCCCCUGCAUCCAUCCACCUCGGGGUGUUGUCAGAAAUCAGAGGAUCCAGCCAACCCUUCAGGUUAUCUAGGAUUUAAACAAUAGCCAACCGUUCGUAGGGAAGUGCAGAGUGCAGCGGUCUACCCAAUACAGUGUUAAUAUACUCGCUGUGGCACUCAACUUCCUUACCUUUGACCAUGACCGACUUUACCGAUCUAAACUCGUUUGCCUUCUUCUUAUUCUUGGGCACCAACUCCCCAUAGGGAGUGUAAAAUUCCCUAACCCAAGAAGUAAUGUAAGGGCCUUGGGGCCUAAUGAACUGGUAAAUCUCAUGGUAUCGGAGGGUGUCAAUAACAUCGGGAUGUGUGCCUUCCAGGCCUUCCGUAGAUAAUAGCUUCUCCUCUAGGAUGGUCCGUAGCCCCUCACCUUUCAGUAUGGUCAGUAGUCUAGGAGGAGGAACGAUAGGGAGUGCAGGGGCCAGUAGAGGUUUCUGCGCUGGCACAGAGUCUAUUGACGGAGGAGUGGCAACUGAGGGAAUAUUGGUGGAUGUGGACUGAGAUCUAUCCCGGAGUUCAUCCUUUCGGUUUAUCAGAGACUGCUUAUCUUCUGGUUCGGAAAAAUUAGCCUAGGUUUUAAUAGCUAUUCCUUUUCUAGCUAUAUGCUUCUUCUUUUGGCCUUUAUCUCUGGGUGGGAGUUCUUCUUCUCUCAUCUUUAGAGGAUUUGACCCCCACCCCCGUUUAUGGUUAUGCCCUAUGCUUUCUUCUGAGGUUGCGUGGUUAGAUUUGUGCAUGUCAUAUCUGCAAGAAAAUGGGAAAAAUUAGGAUAAAAUUCAAACAUAAACACAGAAAAUCUAUUGCAGACAGGCUCGCCAAUCUAUUCGACGAGUCGCCGAACCUCUUUGGCAAGCUAAGUCGGGCUCGCCGAAGGGAUUGGCUUAAAAAUUAUAGCAAGUCGGCGAUGGAAGGGCCCUUUCGGCGAUCAUGGGUUUGUCGGCCGAAAGUUACAGUGCAACAGAGGUUCAGGGGAGAAUACAAAGGGUGAUCAAGAGUACUUUCGGCAAGUCGUCGAGUGCUUUAACUGACCAAAGUCUUCUCACCGAAAGUUACAGAGUCAAACAACACAUACAACAUGAUUUUAAAAGCGAGAUGGAGUCUUUAGGCGAACCGCGGAGUAGUUUGGCUAGCUCAACCCAGCUCGCCGAACGGCCCAACGUGCCCAUUUUCAAUCCACCUUCUCGAAUUCAACCCCGCAACCCCCGAUAACACAAUCAAAGCAUGCACUAAUGAAAUUCAAACAAGACGUAACGACCCGAGAGCACCCCCAAGUUGUAACAUGCGUACUCAACCUCUCGGAGGUCUAAUACAAGCCUCUUAGCAUUUAUUCAUCGCAUUCGGUAAUAAAAACUGUAAGGAAUUUAAACACUUUUUAAAACAAAUUCAUAAUACUCGUAAAAUCUUUCAAAUGUAACGAAGUAGAAUUUCUAAGUCUCAUUGUACCAUCUUUAGACACGAAUAGAACAUCUUUGGGGAACGGCCCUUUACAACAAAAUAUAAGUCUUAUACAAUCUCUAAGUGGAAAUACUAGAAAGGUAACAACUAUGUCCUCGAAUAUAUGAGGACAUACCAAACUUCUUGAGAAAUAGUCAAUAUCCCAAGCUUCCUCAAAAAAUCUCUUCACUUUCCACCACCUACACUUGUAACAAUAGAGAAAUAUGGAAUUAGUACAAUAAGUACUAAGUAUGACGACCAUGCAAGAAAACAUGCACAACGGACAUUUACAAGGAAUGUAUGCUUUUAAGACCUUUAACAAACCUUUACAACCACAAGCAUAAACCCACAUUUCAAGUCACCAUUCACAAAUAAGACCAUAUUCACAUCAUUUACAACUCAAUACUUAAAAAAGAUAGCAAAGUAAGUCCUUCAUUACCAUUUAAGCCUCUAUCUCAAGUCACCCUAAGCCACACUUAAGUGAAUAAUGAAGUGACCGCCCAUACAACCUCUUCAUAUACACCUAAGUGUUCCUAAGAAUUACCAUAAACAAGGGUUUUAUUGUUACAUUAUAACAUACUGAGUCAACAUUCUUUAUAAAACCAUUUAGGAGACACACAAGCAUAUAGGGGACAACCACAUAAUAGCCCUAAGGCUUAGGGAACUCACUUUAGUAUCUUCUAAGCCUACUCGUGCCAUGUGUAGAUAUCAUCCCAUACUACUACCUACACGUUGUAGAACCUAUCCAAUAUUAGAGUGCAUAUCCCAUAUGAUGGAAAUAGGCCUUAACCGACAUAGACCGUUCUAGCAAGGUAUGGAAUCCGGAGUCUAUCCUACUCCGUGGAGGUUGUUCUACUUGCCAAGGGUAGAACUAAAAGCAACCCAUGUUGGCACAUGGUUUAAGAGAUGUCCAAGGAUGUUCAUUGUGCCUAAUCUCAUGCUCAACUAGGUCACCAUCCUAACCACCUCUACUCGGUGCUUAGCCUUGGUUUGCAUAGAGUAUUCAAUCACAUCUGUACUAGAGAGGGUUCCUUUUCUAGUUCAACCAACUCAUAGAACCUCUUCCCAAGAAAGUCCCCAUUUCUUAGUCAUAGCCAAUCUAGGUUCAUAAGGAUAGCUCAUUUGACUUUCUUAGAUAAGGAUUUUCAUGCCGUUCCAGCUCCAUCCAUUUCUAAGUCUAUCAUUUCACUGAAGAAGGGAACAUCACCCUAAGGCCCAUCCUUCAAGGUUAUACAUUUACUUAGGAAAGCUAGACUCAUGAAAAGGCACAAUGCUUAAUUCCUACCAAUUCAAGUCUUGGCCUAAAAUUCCUCUUUUAGCAUUUAUAGGAAGAGCUCCAUUACUAAGUCAUAGCCCAACCAAACAUUCAUAUACUCAUAUACAUAAUCAAGCUUUCGUGACACAAGACAAGAUACUCAAGUCUAGCAUAUGAGCUAUAACAUCAUCUUAUAGAGACUCAUCAUAGUCUAUCAUCACCAGAUAUCACCAUUUCAAGAGAAACAUGCUUUCACAUUAGCAUAAUAACACUUUAUACAAUAUCACUUUAAUACCAUUAGAACAUCUUCACAUUAUAGCUUCACACAAACUUUACAUAUAGCUUCAUAUAGGACUUUACAUAUAGCCUAAUAUGUGCAUAAUAAUCCAACAAUGUAAUAAGAUUCACAUAAUACCCUUCGUGUCCUCAAUUCACAAUAAUACGAUAUUCCCACAUUAUACAACAACUUCACUAAUGCCUUCACGGCUACAAUUCACAAUAAUACCACACAAGAAUAAGAUAUAACACUUCCACCAAAGGUGGAUCCAACCUACCAACAACAAUCCAUUCAAUAAAGAGAGUUCAAGCCUUCUUACCAUAAUCCAAAGCCAUAGCCAAAAUCACCAAUACUUCACCCAUAAGGCUUACCACCCUUAAUUCAUCCAUUAUCAACAAUUAAUCAUAAAUAAACAUUAGACAACACAAGAUAUAUCAAUACCAUUCACUUUACACAUAAUUCCAUCAACUUUGAAUUUAUAGAAAUAGACCCACUUCAUAGCAAAUUUUAGGGUUUUGUAGAAGAAAAGGGUUCAUGGAGUAUUUCAUUCAAAAACCACAAACAAACAUCAAAUAAUCCAUACCCAAACGUUUCAAUUCAUUUUCAUGCAAGAACCCUUGAUAGAAUUCAAAAACAAGCUUUUAGUCACUUUUUGAAAACAUUGUAAAAUCCUUGGAAAUUGACUCUAGGAUGAAGAUGAGUCCUAGAUGAAGAGCCACCAUACCUCAAUUGAUGAAAUCUCCAUGAAAUUUGGUGGAAGGGAACCCUUAAUUGAAACCCUAGCUCUCCACCUUGUUCUUCCUUGAACUUGAGAAAACUUUAGAGAGAGAAAGAACUUUGGGGUUUUGAUUUUGGAAGAUUGAAUUCAAAAACACCUCUCAAAUGUUUUUAAUACCUUUUAAAAUACUUAAAAACACUUAAAAUAAUAAUAACCCAAAGUACCCAAACUACCUCACUUAGUUGGACCUUUUUAAACAAGUCCAACUUGAGUUUUAUUUUCGCAGAUUUCGUCGGAAAACAAGUUCGCGACGCGGAGGUUUUCCUACAAGUUCCUAAAAAUUAAUUUUUGAGAUAGUAGAGUCUGUGGUGUCUACGCGACAGGGAGACACUUUUUGGCCAUUGGUGGAGCUGGUUCGCGACGCAGAGCCAUUCCAUACAAGAACAACUUCAAGCUGCCUUAGCAGCUUGCUUAGCCAAGGGUUGGGGUCCUCCUUGGGGACCCUUAGGUUGGUCCCGGGGAGUUUUACCCGAACGUUUUGACCCUAAAAACAUUUAUUAAGACACUAGGGUCACAUCCACUGAUUUUAGAUUCCAUACUACCCAUAAAAACAUGAACAACAUACUUGAACACACCAACACAUAAAAGACUAGUUUCUGAACGUCUUGGUCGUCCCUUGACGUUUGACUACCAAACUCUUUAAAAUUGACUAAAAAGGCUAUUCUUCAUUAUUUGAACAAGUUAUUAAUGCAUAGGACCCAUGUGAGGCUCUACUUUAUCCUACUUCAUUUUGAGGGGUGUUACAAUAUCCCCCACUUGGGAACAUUCGUCCUCUAAUGACACUUCAAAACAUUAAGGGUAAUGACUCAAGACUAGCAGCCCACAACAAUCAUACAAUAUCAAUAUGAAAGAACUCAUCAAGGAGGAAACAUCAACUCCACAUAACAAGCCAUUGCAACACAACUUCAAUUCAAAUUUAUGGAAGUAAGAAUCACACCUACAACUCAACAUGCCUCAAAUCCUUUUUUUUUCCAUUUCUCAUUUACUUGGAGGAACUUCCUUCUCCAUAACACCUCAUGCUCAUAACAACAUCAAAGAACACAAUAUGCAGUUAUCUUAUUAAAACAUAGUCAUGCCACAUCAAGGAUACUCUUAAACAUUCUCAACUAAUCAACUCUAACAACUUUUAGCAACUCACCAAUUUGUGCAUAUAAGGAGAACAAUGAUCAUGAAACUGAUUUGCUCAUUUAAAUCAAGAACUCAAUUUAAAGCAUGCAACAUUAUAAGGAGAAUUAUAGAAACUCGUUUUUUUUUUAAAACAAGACUCCAAAAACCAUGCAUCAUGCUUCUACAAUUUUAUGACUCAAACUAGAUUAGGAAUAGAAGAAAGAGACAAGAAUAUCCAAACUCACCUUAACUCAUCAUUCAACAUACCAUCCCCCACUUAGGAGAAACCCAUCUAAACCAAUACAAAAGGAUUCCAACAACCAAAACUAGAAAUUAUGACUUACCGGCACCUUCAUUCGGAUUUUCUUCCGUGUUAGCUUGCAGAGCAUAGAAAUGAUUCCUUGCUUGACCAUCAACACUAGGACCACUAUAAGGAGCUUGCCUAGCAUUCCUUCCUUUAGCCACAAUAUUAGGACAAUCUCUUACCUUGUGAUUAUUUUUUCCAUAACCAUAGAAACCACUAGUGUCGGAUAGACACUUCCCGAAAUUCUUAUUUCCACAAGUGGAACAAGUAGGCUUAGCAAUUUGAGAACCACCACCUCCUUCAUGGUUAACCUUAGGAGCACUUGAUAAAUCUUGAUUUGGAGCCCUCUUCUUAAACCUAGGUUGUCCUUGAUCCUCAUACCUACCCCUUUUCAAAUCUUUCCUCACCCUAGUCAUCUUGGACUCCUCAAUAGAUUGAGCAUACACAACAAGCCUAGAGAUGUUCAUGUCACCAUGGAGCAUUGCCGUACGACACUCUUCUUUCACCAAGUCGGAUACACCGGUAACAAACCUACUCAAUUCCUCUCUAGAGUUACACACCAAAGAUGGAACAUACCUAGACAACAUAGAGAACUUCAAAGCAUACUCCUCCACACUCAUAUUACCUUGCCUAAGAUUAAUGAACUCCUUAAUUUUGCACUCCCUCUUCUCUAGGGGAAAGUACUUACCCAAUAAUGCUUCCUUAAACUCCUCCCAUUCUAUAGGACUCGCUUCCUCCGGCCUAUUUGCCUUCCAUUGAGUGUACCAAAUUUGGGCCACCUCCGUCAAUUGGUAUGAAGCCAAUUCCACUUUCUCUCUAGAAGUUACUCCCAUAGCAUCCACAAUUUUGUAAAUCUCAUCCAAGAAUCUUUGGGGAUCUUCUCCAAUUCUAGAGCCCAAAAAGAUAGAAGGAUUCAUCCUCACAAAGUCUCUCAACAUUGAGGCAGCCGUACUCUCAUUAGCAUUCACCCUAGGCCCCACAUCUCAAUUUGCUUGAGCCGUCAUGGCUUGAGCUAGAGUUAGAAAAGCCGCCCUAAUCUCUUCAUUAGUCAGGACCGGGGGAACCAUCGGAACCUCAUUCUCUUAAUUGCCUAUGGGGACUUGGUCACCUUGAAGACCUUGGGGAGGAACUCCCCACCACAUUCUCCUCUUCCGCUCUCCUAGGAUUAGCCCUCGUUUUCAUAUCCUAUAAACACAAGAGAAGGAUUAAGAAACAUACUUAUAGGCCAAACUCUAAGGCACGACGUCAAGAUUAAUGAAAUAAGUGAAACUUCUACCGUCCUAUAGCCUCUAGCUCAUAGAUGUGUCGCGACUCAUACCGAUGAACAAGACUCUACUAGACGUGGCAUAUAAGACUUUGAAUCCUACGGGACAAUUUCCAAAACCUUAUGCUCUGAUACUAACUUUGGAACGACCCGAGAGCACCCCCAAGUCGUAACAUGCGUACUCGACCUCUCGGUGGUCUAAUACAAGCCUCUUAGCAUUCAUUCAUCGCAUUCGGUAAUAAAAACCGUAAGGAAUAUAAACACUUUUUAAAACAAAUUCAUAAUACUCAUAAAAUCUUUCAAAUGUAACGAAGUAGAAUUUCUAAGUCUCAUGUACCAUCUUAGCCACGAAUAGAACAUCUUAGCUAGAGUUAGAAAAGCCGCCCUAAUCUCUUCAUUAGUCAUGGCCGGGGGAACCACUGGAACCUCAUUAUCUUGAUUGCCUAUGGGGACUUGGUCACCUUGAAGACGUUGGGGAGGAACUCCCCCAUCCACAUUCUCCUCUUCUGCUCUCCAAGGAUUAGCCCUCGUAUUCAUAGCCUAUAAACACAAGAGACGGAUUAGGAAAGAUACUCAUAGACAAAAACUCUAAGGCACGACGUAAAGAUUAAUGAAAGAAGUGAAACUUCUACCGUCCUAUAGCCUCUCGCUCAUAGAUGAGUCGCGACUCACACCGAUGAACAAGACUCUACUAAACGUGGCAUAUGAGACUUUGAAUCCUAAGGGACAAUUUCCAAAACAUUAUGCCCUGCUACCAAGUUUGUAACGACCCGAGAGCACCCCCAAGUCGUAACAUGCGUACUCGACCUCUCGGAGGUCUAAUACAAGCCUCUUAGCAUUCAUUCAUCGCAUUCGGUGAUAAAAACCGUAAGGAAUUUAAACACUUUUUAAAACAAAUUCAUAAUACUCAUAAAAUCUUUCAAAUGUAAAGAAGUAGAAUUUCUAAGUCUCAAGUACCAUCUUAGACACGAAUAUAACAUCUUAGGGACACGACCCCUUUACAUUACAACAAAAUAUAAGUCUUAUACAAUGUCUAAGUUAAAAUACUAGAAAGGUAAGAACAAUGUCCUCAAAUACAUGAGGAUAUACCAAGCUUCUUGAGAAGAGCCAAUAUCCCAAACAUCCUAAAAAGAUCUCUUCACUUUCCACCACCUACACUUGUAACAAUAGAGAAAUAUGGAAUUAGUACAAUAAGUACUAAGUAUGAUGACCUUACAAGAAAAAAUGCACAACGGACAUUUACAAGGAAUUUAUUCUUUUAAGACCUUCUUUAACAAACCUUUACAACCACAAACAUAAACCCACAUUUCAAGUCACCAUUCACAAAUAAGACCAUAUUCACAUCAUUUACAACUCAACCAACACAAGUGUACAAUACUUAAACAAGAUAGAAAAGUAAGUCCUUCAUUACCAUUUAAGCCUCUAUCUCAAGUAACCCUAAGCCACACUUAAGUGAAUAAUGAAGUGACCGCCCAUACAACCUCUUCAUAUACACCUAAGUGUUCCUAAGGGUUACCAUAGACAAGGGUUUUAUCAUGACCUUAUAACAUACUAAGUCAACAUUCUUUAUAAAACCAUUUAGGAGACACACAAGCAUAUAGGGGACAAUCACAUAAUAGCCCUAUGGCUUAGGGAACUCACUUUAGUAUCUUCUAAGCCUACUUGUGCCAUGUGUAUAUAGCAUCACAUAAUACUACCUACACGUUGUAGAACCUAUUUAAUAUUAGAUUGCACAUCCCAUAUGAUGGAAAUAGGCCUUAACCGACAUAGACCAUACUAGCAAGGUAUGGAAUCCGGAGUAUAUCCUACUCCGUGGAGGUUGUUCUACUUGCCAAGGGUAGAACUAAAAGCAACCCAUAUUGGCACAUGGUUUAAGAGAUGUCCAAGCAUCUUCAUUGUGCCUAAUUCUAUACUCAACUAGGCCACCAUCCUAACCACAUUUACUCAAAGCUUAGCCUUAGUUUCCAUAGAGUAUUCAAUCACAUUUGUACUAGAGAGGGUUCCUUUUCUAGUUCAACCAACUCAUAGUACCACUUCCCAAGAAAGGCCCCAUUUCUUAGUCAUAGCCAAUCUAGGUUCAUAAGGAUAACUCAUUUGACUUUCUUAGUAUAAGGAUUUUCAUGCCGUUCCAGCUCCAUCCAUCUCUAAGUCUAUCAUUUCACUUAAUAAGGGAACAUCACCCUAAGGCCCAUCCUUCAAGGUUAUACAUUUACUUAGGAAAGCUAGACUCAUGAAAAGGCACUAUGCUUAAGUCCUACCAAUUCAAGUCUUGUCCUAGAAUUCCUCUUUUAGCAUUGAUAGGAAGAGCUCCAUUACUAAGUUAUAGCCCAACCAAACAUUCAUAUAUUUAUAUACAUUAUCAAGCUUUCAUGACACAAGACAAGAUACUCAAGUCUAGCAUAUGAGCUACAACAUCAUCUUAUAGAGACUCAUCAUAGUCCAUCAUUACCACAUAUCACCGUUUCAAGAGAAAGAUGCUUUCACAUUAGCAUAAUACCACUGUAUACAAUAUCACAUUAAUACCAUCUGAACAUCUUCACAUUAUAGAUUCACACAAACUUUACAUAUAGCUUCAUUUAGGACUUUACAUAUAGCCUCAUAUGUGUAUAUUAAUACAACAAUGUAAAUAACACUCAUAUAAUGCCCUUCGUGGCCUCAAUUCACAAUAAUGGGAUAUUCCCACAUUAUACAACAACUUCACCAAUGCCUUCACGGCUACAAUUCACAAUAAUACCACACAAGAAUAAGAUAUAACACUUCCACCAAAGGUGGAUACAACCUACCAACAACAAUCAAUUCAAUAAAAAGAGCUUAAGCCUUCUUACCAUAAUCCAAAGACAUAGCCAAAAUCACCAAUACUUCACCCGUAAGGCUUACCGCCCUUAAUUCAUCCAUUAUCAAAUAUUAAUCAUAAAUAAACAUUAAACAACACAAGAGAUAUCAAUACCAUUCACUUUACACAUAAUUCCAUCAACUUUGAAUUUAUAGAAAUAGACCAGCUUCAUAGCAAAUUUUAGGGUUUUGUAGAAGACAAGGGUUCAUGAUGUAUUUCAUUCAAAACCACAAACAAACAUCAAUUAAUCCAUACCCAAAUGUUUCAAUUCAUUUUCAUGCAAGAACCCUUGAUAGAAUUCAAAAACAAGUUUUUGUCACUUGUUGAAAACAUUGUAAAAUCCUUCGAAAUUGACUCUAGGAUUAAGAUGAGUCCUAGAUGAAGAGCCACCAUACCUCAAUUGAUGAAAUAUCCACGAAAUUUGGUAGAAGGGAACCCUCAAUUGAAACCUUAGCUCUCCACUUUCUUCUUCCUUUAACUUAAGAAAACUUUAGAGAGAGAAAGAACUUUAAGGUUUUGAUUUUUGAAGAAUGAAUUCAAAAACACCUCUUAAAUGUUUUAAUACCUUUAAAAUAGUUUAAAACACUUAAAAUUAUAAUAACCCAAAGUACCCAAACUACCUCUCAGUUAGUUGGACCUUUUUAAACAAGUCCAACUUGAGUUUUCAUUUCACAGAUUUAGUCGGGAAACAAGUUCGCGACGUGGAGCUGGUCCCACAAGUUCCUAAAUAUUAAAUUUCAAGACAGUAGAGUCUGUGGUGUCUCCGCGAUGCGGAGCCACUAUUUGGCCAUUGGUGGAGCAGGUCCGCGACGCGGAGCCACUCCCUCCAAGAACAACUUCAAGUUGCCUUGGCAACUUGCUUGGCCAAGGAUUGGGGUCCUCCUUGGGGACCUUUAGGGUGGUCCCGGGGAGUCGUACCCGAACAUUUUGACCCUAAAAACAUUUAUUAAUACACUAGGGUCACCUCCACAGAUUUUAGACUCCAUACAACCGAUAAAAACAUGAACAACAAACUAGAACACAACAACACGUAAAAGACUUGUUUCCGAACGUCUUGGUCGUCCCUUGACGUUUAACUUCCAAACUCUUUAAAACUUACUAAAAAGGAUAUUCUUCAUUAUUUUAACAAGUUAUUAAUGCAUAGGAACUAUGUGAGGCUCUACUUUAUCUUACUUCAUUUUGAGGGGUGUUACAAUAUCCCCCACUUGGGAACAUUCGUCCUCGAAUGACACUUCAAAACAUUAAGGGUAAUGACUCAAGACUAGCAACCCACAACAGUCAUACAAUAUCAAUAUGAAAGCACUCAUCAAGGAGGAAACAUCAAUUCCACAUAACAAGCCAUUACAACACAUAUUCAUUCAAAUUUAUGGAAGUAAGAAUCACACCUACAACUCAACAUGCCUCAAACCCUUUUUUUUCCAUUUCUUAUUAUUUGAAGGAACUUCCUUCUGCAUAGCACCUCAUGCUCAUAACAACAUCAAAGAACACAAUAUGCAAUUAUGUUAUUAAAACACAGUCAUGCCACAUCAAGGAUAUACUUAAGCAUGCUCAACUAAUCAACUCUAACAACUUUUAGCAACUCACCAAUUUGUGCAUAUAAGGAGAACAACGAUCAUGAAACUGAUUUUCUCAUUUAAAUCAAGAACUCAAUUUAAAGAAUGCAUCAUUUUAAGGAGAAUUCUAGAAACACAUUUUGCAUGCAUCAUUAUAAGGAAAAAUAUAGAAACUCAUUUAUUUUCACACAAGACUCCAAAACACAUGCAUCAUGCUUCUACAAUUCUAUGACUCAAACUCGAUUAGGAAUAGAAGAAAGAGACAAGAAUAUCCAAACUCACCUCAACUCAUUAUUCAACAUACCAUCCCCCACUUAGGAGAAACCCAUCUAAGCCAACACAAAAGGAUUCCCACACAAAACUAGAAAUUAUGACUUACCGGCACCUUUAGCCAGAUUUGCUUCCUUGUUAGCUUGGAGAGCAUAGAAACGAUUCCUUCCUUGACCAUCAACACUUGGACCACUAUAAGGAGCUUGCCUAGCAUUUCUUCCUUUAGCCACAAUUUUAGGACAAUCUCUUACCUUGUGAUCAUAUUUUCCACAACCAUAGCAACCACUAGUGCCGGAUAGACACUCCCCAAAAUGCUUCUUUCCACAAGUGAAACAAGUAGGCUUAGCAAUUAGAGAACCACUACCUCCUUCAUGGUUAACCUUCGGAACCACCACCUCCUUCAUGGUUAAACUUAGGAGCACUUGAGAAAUCUUGAUUUGGAGACCUUUUCUUAAACCUAGGUUGUCCUUGAUCUCAUACCUACCCCUUUUCAAGUCUUUCCUCACCCUAGUCAUCUUGGACUCCUUAAUAGAUUGAGCAUACACAACAAGCCUAGAGAUGUCCAUGUCAUCAUGGAGCAUUGCUUAUCCUAUAAAGACAAGAGACUCAUUAGGAAAGAUACUUAUAGACCAAACUCUAAGGCACGAUGAUAAUAUUAAUGAAAUAAGUGAAACUUGUACCGUUCUAUAGCCUCUCGCUCAUAGAUGUGUCGCGACUCUCACCGUUGAACAAGACUCUACUAGACGUGGCAUAUGAGAAUUUGAAUCCUAAGGGACAAUUUCCAAAUCCUUAUGAUCUGAUACAAAAGUUUGUAACGACUCGAGAGCACCCCCUAGUCAUAACAUGCGUACUCGACUGCUUCUUUAAACUCCUCCCAUUCUAUAGGACCCACUUCAUCCGGCUGGUCUAAUACAAGUCUCUUAGCAUUCAUUCAUCGCAUUCGGUAAUAUAAACCGUAAGGAAUUUAAACACCUUUUAAAACAAAUUCAUAAUACUCAUAAAAUCUUUCAAAUGUAACGAAGUAGAAUUUCUAAGUCUCAUGUACCAUCUUAGACACGAAUAGAACAUCUUAGGGGCACGGCCUUUUGCAACAAAAUAUAAGUCUUAUACAAUGUUUAAGUUGAAAUACUAGAAAGCUAACAACUAUGUCCUCGAAUAUAUGAGGACAUACCAAGCUUCUUGAGAAGAGCCAAUAUCCCAAGCUUCCUCAAAAGAUCUUUUCACUUUCCACCACCUACACUUGUAACAUUAGAGAAAUAAGGAAUUAGUACAAUAAGUACUAAGUAUGAUGACCUUACAAGAAAAAAUGCACAACGGACAUUUACAAGGAAUGUAUUCUUUUAAGACCUUCUUUAACAAACCUUUACAACCACAAACAUAAACCCACAUUUCAAGUCACCAUUCACAAAUAAGACCAUAUUCACAUCAUUUACAACUCAAUUAACACAACUGUACAAUACUUAAACAAGAUAGAAAAGUAAAUCCUUCAUUACCUUUUAAGCCUCUAUCUCAAGUAACCCUAAGCCACACUUAAGUGAACAAUGAAGUGACCGCCCAUACAACCUCUUCAUAUACACCUAAGUGUUCCUAAGAAUUACCAUAGACAAGGGUUUUAUCAUUACCUUAUAACAUACUAAGUCAACAUUCUUUAUAAAACCAUUUAGGAGACACACAAGCAUAUAGGGGACAAUCACAUAAUAGCCCUAUGGCUUAGGGAACUCACUUUAGUAUCUUCUAAGCCUACUCGUGCCAUGUGUACAUAUCAUCCCAUACUACUACCUACACGUUGUAGAACCUAUCCAAUAUUAGAGUGCACAUCCCAUAUGAUGGAAAUAGGCCUUAACCGACAUAGACCAUACUAGCAAGGUAUGGAAUCCGGAGUCUAUCCUACUCCGUGGAAGUUGUUCUACUUGCCAAGGGUAGAACUAAAAGCAACCCAUAUUGUCACAUGGUUUAAGAGAUGUCCAAGCAUGUUCAUUGUGCCUAAUCCCAUACUCAACUAGGCCACCAUCCUAACCACAUCUACUCGGUGCUUAGCCUUGGUUUCCAUAGAGUAUUCAAUCACAUCUGUACUAGAGAGGGUUCAUUUUCUAGUUCAACCAACUCAUAGUACCUCUUCCUAAGAAAGGCCCCAUUUCUUAGUCAUAGCCAAUCUAAGUUCGUAAGGAUACCUCAUUUGACUUUCUUAGGUAAGGAUUUUCGUGUCGUUCCGGCUCCAUCCAUCUCUAAGUCUAUCAUUUCACUGAAGAAGGGAACAUCACCCUAAGGCCCAUCCUUCAAGGUUAUACAUUUACUUAGGAAAGCUAGACUCAUGAAAAGGCACUAUGCUUAAGUCCUACCAAUUCAAGUCUUGGCCCAAAAUUCCUCUUUUAGCAUUUAUAGGAAGAGCUCCAUUACUAAGUCAUAGCCCAACCAAACAUUCAUACACUCAUAUACAUAGUCAAGAUUUCAUGACACAAGACAAGAUACUCAAGUCUAGCAUAUGAGCUACAACAUUACCUUAUAGAGACUCGUCAUAGUCCAUCAUCACUACAUAUCACCAUUUCAAGAGAAACAUGCUUUCACAAUAAUACCAUUAGAACAUCUUCACAUUAUAGCUUCACAAAAACUUUACAUAUAGCUUCAUAUAGGACUUUACAUAUAGCCUCAUAUGUGUAUAAUAAUACAACAAUGUAAUAACACUCAUAUAAUGCCAUUCGUGGCCUCAAUUCACAAUAAUGCGAUAUAUGUGUAUAAUAAUACAACAAUGUAAUAACACUCAUAUAAUGUCCUUCGUGGCCUCAAUUCACAACAAUGCAAUAUUCCCACAUUAUACAACCACUUCACCAAUGCCUUCAUGGCUACAAUUCAAAAUAAUACCACACAAGCAUAAGAUAUAACACUUCCACCAAAGGUGGAACCAACCUACCAACAACAAUCCAUUCAAUAAAGAGAGUUCAUGCCUUCUUACCAUAAUCCAAAGCCAUAGCCAAAAUCACCAAUACUUCACCCAUAAGGCUUACCACCCUUAAUUCAUCCUUUAUCAACAAUUAAUCAUAAUUAAACAUUAAACAACACAAGAUAUAUUAAUACCAUUCACUUUACACAUAAUUUCAUCAACUUUGAAUUUAUAGAAAUAGAUCCACUUCAUAGCAAAUUUUAGGAUUUUGUAGAAGGCAAGGGUUCAUGGAGUAUUUCGUUCAAAAACCACAAAAAAACAUCAAUUAAUCCAUACCUAAAUUUUUCAAUUCAUUUUCAUGCAAGAAUCCUUGAUAGAAUUCAAAAACAAGCUUUUAGUCACUUUUUGAAAACAUUGUAAAAUACUUUGAAAUUGACUCUAGGAUGAAGAUGAGUCCUAGAUGAAGAGCCACCAUACCUCAAUUGAUGAAAUCUCCACGAAAUUUGGUGGAAGGGAACCCUCAAUGGAAACCCUAGAUCUCCACCUUGUUCUUCCUUGAACUUGAGAGAACUUUAGAGAGAGAAAGAACUUUGGGGUUUUGAUUUUGGAAGAAUGAAUUCCAAAACACCUCUUAAAUGUUUUAAUACCUUUAAAAUACUUAAAAAUACUUAAAAUAAUAAUAACCCAAAGUACCCAAACUACCUCUCACUUAGUUGGACCUUUUUAGACAAGUCCAACUUGAAUUUUAUUUUCGCAGAUUUCGUCGGGAAACAAGUUCGCGACGCGGAGGUGUUCCCUCAAGUUCCUAAAAAUUAAAUUUCGAGGCAGUAGAGUUGGCGGUGUCUCCGUGACACGGUACCACUUUUUGGCCAUUGGUGGAGAAGGUCCGCGACUCAGAGCCACUCCCUCCAAGAAUAACUUCAAGCUGCCUUGGCAGCUUGCUUGGCCAAGGGUUGGGGUCCUCCUUGGGGACCCUUAGGGUGGUCCCGGGGAGUGGUACCCGAACGUUUUGACCCUGAAAAAAAUUUAUUAAGACACUAGGGUCACCUCCACUGAUUUUAGACUCCAUACAACCCACAAAAACAUUAACAACAUACUAGAACACACCAACACGUAAAAGACUAGUUUCUGAACGUGUUGGUCGUCCCUUGACGUUUCACUUCCAAACUCUUUAAAACUGACUAAAAAGGCUAUUCUUCAAUAUUUUAACAAGUUAUUAAUGCAUAGGAAUCAUGUGAGGCUCUACUUUAUCCUACUUCAUUUUGAGGGGUGUUACACAAGACCCAUAAUACUCAUCACCCCGGGAUACUCAGAUUUUUCCCGGUUUUGCCAAAUUUAGCCAUUUGACGAUAUUUGCUCUUAAGAGUGUUGUCACCCACUCUAUCAUUGAGAAAUCUUUGUCAUUUAGCACAAACAUGGGUUACCCGAACUUCACCCAAUCAAUCUAAAUGACACGCAAGCACAACUCAAUGCAAAUUCAUUUAUUUAAAAGCACCAAAAUUACGGGUAUUUGACGAUCAAAAUACUAAGGGAAAUAUUUGCAAAUUGAAAUACGCAUUUAAGAAUUCUAGUUCUAUCAGAAAUGCCAAGAACACAACAAUAUGAUACAGCUAUUGCAAAUGAGUACAAAAUUUUCGAAUGUAAACUCGGGAUUCGGAAACCAACCUUAAAUACCGAUUAAAAUGCGAUUGAAAAUCUAGGUGGCAAAGAAAUCCUAGUUCUGAGCACCACUCAACAACUAAAGUACUAAUGGAAUAUAAAAUUUUUGAAAAUACUCCAUUGGUGUGAGUUUGUGAAAUUUAAAAAUGAGGGAAAGUGAAGAAGUUCAAAUUCUGAGACCUUUGGAAAUUAUAAGGCGUCCAGUUGGCGUCCAUACGGCGACAUUAGUCGCACUCGCUGAUCCACUCGGUGAUACGCCGAGUGGUCACUUACCCCGCCAUUUCCGAUAGGAUCAUUAGUUUCUUGGGGGUCAAUAUGGCGGUCUGAAUCGAGGUCGCCGAACAGGUUGGCGACACGCCGCUCUGCUUUUUGAGCUUGCCAAAUUCUACAGGAUCUUAAUUAUAUUUGAGUUGAGCCAAACGGCGGGUCAAGUCCGGCAUGCCGAUCAUUUUGGCGAUUCGCCGACAUACCGUUUUACUAGCCAAUAGGCAUUUUCCAAAUACUUUCAACAUUUAAACCUGCACCACUAACACACCAUUAUUUAUAAAUGCAAACAAAAGCAUCUAAAACCUUGGGUUGCCUCCCAAGAAGAGCCUUAAUUAACGUCGUGGCACGAUGCAAGUCCUUAUUUACUCUCCAUUGGUGGGGUUGGUCCUAGUGUUACUAGGGAACCCCUAUAGUUCAUUUGAGUGAAGAGGAGGCACUGCAUAACUCAUGAGUUUCCUGAUCAGCUGGAUCGAUCUAGAAUGGGAGCCAAUCAUUUGAUUCAACACUUCAAUAUUCUCCUUCAUCUGUUCUUGUAUUUGAUCUUAUUCGAUGAUCUUUUGGAGAAUGAGUUGGAGUGUUUCCUCGACACGAUUGUUCUCCCUGUCUCCAGACUAUUUCCGCUCAUGAGGGGGUAUGUACCUCCCUUAUCUCUUACACUGGUUUUCCACCUGUGAUAUUUUGGUAGCUAAAUCAUUCAGCUGAGUUACCAGUGCGGUUAACUUGAAUUCCCUCUCGACUUCUUGACUCGUCGCAGCUAACUUGACACCACUUUUCUCAGGCAAUCUCAGGGUGUCUGCAUGCAACCAACAACUCAAAAGAAAAGAAAACUAAAAGUAAACUACAAUUAAGGAGAACAACAAUUCUAUUAAACGAAGAAUUCUCAAAUAAUACCAGUCCCAGGCAGCGGCGCCAUUUUGAUGUCUGCGUAAUCAAGACACAACUUCCAAUGCAAGUGUCUACGAUCGUACAAUAAUAAAGUAACCCAACCAAGGGGUUGGGGUCGAGUCCCAAGGGAGUGGGCUUCAGAAUUAAUAGAAAAAUAAAAUUAAGUUCCAAUUAGUCAUAGUUAAAAAUAUUAUCGAAUGUAAACAUGUUAAAUCUAAGGGGUGACGCAAGCGUCAAUUAACAAAUGGGGGUUUGUCACAAGUAAGCAACAAAUACAAAAAGUAUUAAUCAAGGAGAUGGGAUUCUUGGGAUGUGAUAGGAAUACGGGAUAAACUAAACUAUUGGGUACAUGUUUUGAUAGUAAAUCCAUUGAAUAUUUGUUGCUAGGCUAGACUAUAGUAGGGGUAAAUUCUCUCUUGAGAAUUUACCCCGAAUCAAAUGGGUUCCUCUUGGACACCCACUUUUCGCAUGAAGAACAGCCUCCGCCUUAGCCCACUCACUUUCUCGAGGUGAGUGUGUGGGAGAAUGACUAGGGUUCAUUCUCUCGAGUUGAACCUCAUGUCAACCCAAUUCCAGCGGCCAUCAAUUUAGUAGUCUUAGUUUUACGACCUCUCUCUCAAGCAAGCCUAAAACACAAAGGUGAAAUAGUAUUUGCAACUACAACUUCAUUAAGUUCCACCACAACUACUAAACGAAAUCACAUUUACUCAACAAAUAAACCAUCAACAAGCAAGACCCAAUAGAUAAUCUUACCCAUAUUCACAAAAUCACACCCCAAGAAUUGGGGUUUUAGCUAGACAUGUGAAAGAGAUAGGAAUUUAUACCCAAAUGAGUUUGCAUUCAAAUGGGUAUGAAGAUUUAAGUCUUGAUACGAGCUAAGAUUGAAGAAUCCAAAAGACCCAAUCCCAAAUUCUUGGAGUUGAAACCCUUUGAAUCUUCAAGUUUUUCAAAACCUUCUCCAAACUUAGAACUCAAAAAAUAAAAGUUAAAAAUUUAUGAUAGAACUAUGUAAAAUAUGAUAUUAAAAAUCUGAUACUAAACGAGUAUUUAUAGUUUUUAAAGAUUUGUGCUGCAGCGGAUCACUUGGAGACAUUAGUCGGAAUCACCGAUCAACUCGGCGGUUCUCCCUUUGGUGUAGUUCAUAGCCAUCUUGCGUUAGCCUUCAGUAUCGUCGUGUUUUGGAUCAUUAGGCGACCUAGUACCGCUUCACGGAACAGCUCGGCGACACUCCGACUGCUCAUUUUCACCGCCGACUUGAUCCUUUCAUUCAGGGCUCAACACACUGAAACAAAAGGCGAGGUGAGAUCAUAUGGCGACACGCCGAAUGGCUUCGGCGAUCCGCAUAUCUUCAUUUAUCCGUUCUUUCAGCUUCCUUUGUUCCUUUUUGCUCAAUUGUUUCCAUUCCUUUUCCUCCAAGUCUAAAUACCUGAAAUUCACGGUAUUUUAUCACUUUUUUAGACAAAAUUUGCAUUUGAGGACACUAAACCUAUUAAAUUGUACCCCUAAAUGAGUCCAAUUUGUGGACUCAUCAAUGAGCUUAUAAUAUAUAGAAUUAUUUUGAGUGACCAAGGAUUUCUCUGAGUUAUAGAAUGAGUAUUGUGACGUUUUGGAAUAGUAGUUGAAAUAUUGUAUGUGAAAGUUUGUGCGAAGUUGACUUUGGAUGUGAUUCAAUUAUUGCACUUCGAUGGAAAUGUAUUUAUAUUUAAAAUUAGUGCUAGCAGUCUUAGGUGUGACUCAUAAUUGUCAUGAAAUGCUUAAAUGGAAAGAGACGGAGCCAUAUUUUGAAAUUUUUAGAGGCUACAAUGUGUUUGCUAAGAAGACUUUUAUACUAGUGAUAGUUUGAGAGGAAGGCAAAUGGCUGGUGUAGUUAUGGUGUUUGUUGGUAUUGAGAGUGUUAGCUUCAAUGGAGUACUGUGAGAAGUAUGUAGGGUUUGAUGAAUCUAGUAUUUGUAACAUUAUAAUGGAGAUCAGACUCGUUGAUUAUGGGUGGCUAAAAAUUGAGAGAUGGAGUCAGAUGAAUGAAAUUUUAUUUAUAUGGGCACUAUGGAAGGAGUAUAUGGUGUUAUACGAACUUUGUUUCAUAUAUUUUAUGUGACUAUCUUCUUCGUUCUGGACAUUAUUUGAAUUAUGAUUCAAUACUUAUGAGAAUUUAUAGAAGAGCUGCCAUGAGUAUUUACAAUUGUUCACCAAUAUUAAUAUUCAUCUAGUCGUUGAGGUCACGUUUCAGUUAUGUGUGGUUGAAUAUGGGGACCAUUGGGUCUAGUUCUACCAUUCUUAAGGGUUGUCUAUAAUCACAACUAUUGAUCUAGCAUUCUGACAAUGUUGUUAAAGGUUUUAUAUGUUUGAGUGAAUCGCUUGUUGGGUGGUUAUUUGAUCAUUUCCUUCAUUGAGUUAGAUAAGUUUUAUACUCCCUUGAUAAGUAUCCAAUAUCUAAAGAUUAGAUUUUUAUAACUUAAGCUCGUGAAAAGAUCGUAUUGUGAAAAGGAAAUCUUGAUAAGAUCAGUGAUGGUUUGUGUAUUAUGAGUGUGUGGUGGUUGGUUAAAUUUCACUUCUGGCUCUAGCCGGUAUCGAUUCAAAAUGUUAUCUUGGUUAUUUAGAAAGGAGUCAUCAUGAUGGUUGUGUUAUGGUUCAAUAGGUUUCAGUUUAGAUUUGGUUCAUGGGUUAGCUUGUGAGUUGAUAAUCACUCUUGAUUUGUAAUGUUCCAAAGUUUGAUUUGAAAGUUCAGUUCUUGGUAAUUGGUCUUGAUGGAAUAGUCUUAAGGAGGAGCUCACUUGAAAAUAUGAACACUGACUAGUAGGUCAUAACUCAAGUUUUUGGUAACGUCGGUUGUUCCUUCUUCUUCUUCUCUAUGUUCGAGCACGAACAUGGUUUUUAGUGGUGGAUAAUGUAAUGACCCGUUAGGCCAUUUUGAGAACUACUCAUCUUUUUAAUGGGAAUUUAGAAUUACUCAUUUAACUAUGGUUAUUUAAUUAGCGGGUAAACUUUUAAUAUUUAAUUUUAGUAAUUAGUUAAUGGGUAAAGUCCAUAAUUUAUUUAAUACACUAUACUACUUGACCAAUGUGUUAAAGUAAGUUAGUAGGGUUUAAUAAUUUUAGACUACACAUUUUAAGAGGAAAAAGGAACAUGGAAAACAAGACCGGCGACAAUCACUUCGGCAAAUUCCAAACUUACCGACCAAAUUGCACCAGGUAAACCAAACCUAAUUUUGUAUUAUGUAUUUGAAUGAAUAGUCUAGUAUUAUUAUUAUAAUAAUAACGUUGGCUUUGAAAGAAAAAGAAGAGAAAUUGGAUUUGAAUAACCUAUGCUAACGUUUCUUGGUGGAAAAUUUUUAAUAGCUAUUAAUUGCAUGAUGAUUGAGCAAUGAUUGACCUUUUUAACAUUAAUAAUUAGGAAUUAAAAAUUUAUAUGUAGGAAUUGGGAAUGGGAUAUGCAGUAGUGUCACUGUUAGUUGAUUGAGUUAUGCGGUCAAUAUGUUUUCGUAACUAAUCGAUUGUAAUUUUAUUUUUUAUUAUCGUAUUAUUAAUCAAAUUUUAAUAUAUUGGUAUAUGUAAUUAAAUAUUAGUUGUAGGGUAUUAUGUGAAUACCAUUAGAUUUAUGAUAUUGGAUAAAUUGGGAUUUAAUCUUAACCUUGAAACUUAAGAACUUGAUUAUAGAUUUUGGUGAGUUUUUGGCUCUAGUCUAAACCUAUGGUAAUAUGGGUAUUGUUAUUUUUGAAAUCUUAUUAUAAUUAUGUAAUUGAAUAGAGUGCAUUAAUUUGGAAGCCAAUGAAAAGGGAAGGCUCAAGUCCCGGAGUGAACGGUUAAUUAAUUGAGGCAAGUGGAUUUCUAAACUCUUGUUAAGUGCAUGGAAUUGUGUAUUUCCUUGUGGUGUGUGUUGGAGAGUAAUGGGAAUUUGUAAUGGGUUGACUUGUCCAUGUUGAAUAAUUCUAAUGAUGGAAAAAUGGUUAUAAAAAGGCAAUGUGAAUUGUGAAUUGUGUGAUGUUAUGAAAAUGGUCAUCUCCUCAUUAUUAUGAACAUGUCAUCUGCAUUGUUUUGAUACGUGAUUGUAACUAGUGUUAUGUGAACUGAGAAAGAAUAAGAAAUUAAAGAGGAUGCACCAUUUCGAGGGACGUGUCUCGCGCCACGAUAAAUACUAUAUUUCGAGGGACGUAUCGCACGCCAUGAUGGAUUCUAUUAACAAGGGAUGUGUCGCAUGCCGCGACGGAUGCAUGGAGAGAUAUGUCCCCCAUGGGUUUCGGAUUGAGAGACAACGGGUGUAUCGUUAGGUCAGACAUGCAUCACUAUACUUGGCAUUGCAUUUAAUUGCAUUGCACAUUUUUAUCAUUGAUGAACUUGAUCUUGUGUGUUGCUGAUCUUGUGAGUGCCUUUCUGUGGAAGUUGUGGUUGAUGAAUAUUGAGUUGCUGUUGAGGAUAUGUAAUUUGUUAGUGUUGUUGUUGAGUUGUGUGCUAUGUAAACUGUGAACUUUUAGGUUGGGCUAGUUUUAUGCAGGUUGUAGUUGUGGAGGUUAGGAUGGGAUGUAAGGAGUACCCGUAUUAUGUCCCCAUAACUUGUGUUUAGAAGUUUACUUGCUGAGUACCGUGUGAUUUGGUACUCACCCAUUCCUUCUACAUUUUUGUAGGUUACGAGCCCGGAUCUUCGUGAUACUUUUUAUUCUCUUCUUAUCCGAUGCUUCCUGUGGAGAUUUGUGAGGUAGUUGUUUGUUAUCUCAGCAGACCUUCUUACUCCUAUUUAUGAUUUUGUUCUUCUUAAGAGACUUACGUGUUUUCUUUCAAUUCCAUUGUAUUACAUUAGAGGCUUGUCGCGUGACAACCAGGUCUUGGGGGUAUUUUUAAGUUGAUUAUAAAUUUCCACAUUUUUUCGUAAUUAUUGAGUUUUAGGCUGACUUCUCUUGGUGGGAUAAGACGAGUGCCAUCACGUCAACUUUUGGGUCGUGACAUAUGAUUUCUGUUAGUAGGGAGUUAUUAAGUGGUAUAUUUUAUGCUAGUAGUGCUCAACAAGUAUGGACUGAUUUGAAAGAAAGGUUUGAUAAGCUAGAUGGAUCUAGGAUAUUCUACCUGCACAAAGAGAUUGCUACACUCAGUCAAGGACUGUUUCCAGUUAUUUCUCUAAACUUAAGGGGUUGUGGAUGGAGUUUGAAUCCCUUAUGUCAUGUCUUGGAUAUGCGUGUGAGGUGUCUAAGACCUAUGCAGCACAUUUUGAAUACCAACGAUUGAUGCAAUUUCUAUUAGGACUAAAUGAGUCUUACAAUCAGUGUAGAAGUCAGAUCAUGAUGUCGGAUCCUCCUCCAAGGGUUAACAAGGCUUACUCUCUAGUUUUGGCUGAGGAGAGUCAGAGGAUCCUUGGAAAAUAUAAUGUUGUAGGUAGUGAUAAUUCUAGUCUUGUGAAUGAGGCUAUGGCAUUCUUCGGCAACAACAAGGGUGCUAUACCUAGAUCAUGUUUCAAUCCCAACUCUAGAUCUAACCCUCCUUCAGGAGAUGGUCCUGGAUCUUCUUAGAAAUCAUCUACAAAUAGUCAUCUCUAUUUUGACUACUGAAACUGGAAAGGUCAUGUGAGAUCUACUUGUUACAAACUCCAUGGCUACCCUGCUGACUAGAACAGGUUCAACAACAUCAUCAUUUCUCUCCACAACAAUACCAGUAGCUCCUGAACAUGUUAGAUCAAGAGAAUGAGAAGGCAAAGGUCAACUGUGAUAAUAUGCUUGCAUCAGGUAUGAAACCUUUUUCCUCUAUGAUUAGUAAGGCUGAUACAUUGAUUAUUGACUCUGGAGCUUCUCAACAUAUGGUUAAUAACAUGACUAUGAUGAAUCAACAUUCUCCAUUACAUAAUGCCUCAUGCAAUAAGGUUCAUUUUCCCAAUGGUGCACUUGUUCAUGUAGCUCACAUUUGUUCUUCUAAGCUCCUUGGAGGAGUAGAUAUUUCUAAUGUUAUGCAUAUUCCUGCAUUUCAACAUAAUUUGUUGUUUGUUUCAAAACUGACUAUGGAGUUAAAUUGUCGUGUCCUCUUCUGACCUAACUUUUGUGUCUUUCAGGACCUAUCAAGUUGGACUGUGAGGGGGACUGGCAGACUGGAGAACAAUCUAUAUGUUGCUAAUGUUGAUUGCUUGCUGAAUAAGUCUCCUGGAGUGCCUUUGCAGUCUACUCCAGCCUGUGUUCCUGUGGCUCAUACUACCUCUACUCAGUCUUGUAAUGUAGAUAUGUCUCUUUGGCAUAAGAGACUAGGCCAUGUACAUGUAUCUACUAUUAGAAGCCUUAAUUGUUUCAAGUCUAUCUCCUCAAGCUCUACCUCUAUUUGUAUUGUAUGUCCUUUGGCUAAACAGUCCAGGCUGUCAUUUCCUUUGAGUAAUUUUACUACUACGGCUUGCUUUGAUCUUCUACAUGCUGAUGUAUGGGGUCCUUAUCGAGUACCUACUCAUGAUAAUAAGAGAUACUUUCUUUCUUUAAUUCAUGACUUUUUCAGAUACACAUGGUUAAUCUUACUUAAUUCUAAGACUGAGGUUAUAGUAGCUUUAACCAAUUUCUUUGCCAUGGUUAGGAAUAUAUUGUCCACCACUAUUAAAGUACUCAGAACUGAAAAUGGUAUUAAGUUUUUCAACUCACAAGUCACUUAUCUGCUUCACACACUAGACAUUCUUUACCAAAGUUCAUGUACUUAUACCCCUUAGCAGAAUGGGCUUUUUGAAAGAAAACACAGACAUAUUCUAGAUAUGGGUAGGUCACUAAGGUUUCAAGCCAGUCUACCUCAAAGAUUAUAGGGUAAAAUUAUCACCACUAGUGUCUACUUAAUCAAUAGGCUUCCCUCCAUUGUGCUUCAGGGAAGACUCCUCAUGAUUUACUGUAUCAUAUUCCCUCUAUUUUGGAUCAUUUAAAGGUGUUUGGCUGUCUUCUGUUUGCCACUGAGGUGCGAGGUGUUGACAGGUUUGCCUCUAGAGCAUGGAAAACCUGUCAACACCUCGCACCUCAGUGGUAAACACAAGACAGCCAAACACCUUUAAAUAAUCCAAAACAGGGGGGGAAAUGAUACAAUAAAUCAUGAAGAGUCUUCCCCUAAAGCACAGUGGAGGGAAGCCAAUUGAUUAAGUAGACACUAGUGGUGAUACUUUUACCCCAGAAUCUGUGAGGUAGACUGGUUUGAAACCUUAGUGACCUAGCCAAAUCUAGAAUAUUUCUGUGUUUUCUUUCAACAACCCCAUUCUUGUGAGGGGCAUAAGUACAAGAACUUUGGUGAAGAAUGCCUAGUGUGUGAAGCAGCGAAGUGACUUGUGAGUUGAAAAACUCACAACGAUUGUCAGUUCUGGGAACUUUAAUAAUGUUAUGAACCAUAUGUUGAGAAGCUCCAGAUUCAAUAAUCCAUGUAUCAACCUCAGUAAUGUUAGAGGAACAAUGCGUCAUACCUGAUGCCAGCAUGUUAUCACAGUUGGCAUUUGCCUUUGCCUUCUCAUUCUCUUGAUCUAACAUGUUUAAGAGUUGCUGGUUCUGCCAUGAAGAUAAAUAAGGAUGAUGCUGAACCUACGGAUCAUAGUGAAUAGACAUAGGGGCAUGAGAAGGCGUAGUAGAAGGGAAACCACCACCUGUUGGCCACACAAGAGUGCUUCCGUGUGAGCUGUUGUUAGGUCCAUGAGCAAACUGAGCAGAAUACUGCCUAAGAUGACUAUUACCAGUAGAAGUCCCUACAAAAUUGGAUCCAAGAAAAAGUCCACUGGUUGUUCUCCUCUUACCCUUCUAAUCAACAAGGUAGCCAUGGAGUUUGUAACAACUAGAUCUCACAUGACCUUUCCAGUUGCAUUAGUCACAAUAGAAAUGACUAUUUGUGGAUGGUUUCUGAGAAGAUCUAGGACCAGCUCCUGAAGGAGGGUUAGAUCCAAAGUUGGGAUUGAAACUUGAUCUAGGCAUAGCACCCUUGUUGUUACUGAAGAAUGCCAUAGCCUCAUUCACCAGACUAGAAUUAUCACUACCUACAUCAUUAGAUUUUCCAAGGAUCCUCUAACUUGGGCACUUGUCUACAAACAAGGAGGCCAGUAACAAGUUAUCUUGUGAAAUUUUGAGAUGCACUCAUUUCUGGGAAAUCAAAAAAACAAGAUACAGUGGCUAGAAGCUCUGCAGAAGCUGAAUUCAGAAGCAUGGCAUUAGUUGUAGCAGAGAUCACUUGGCUUAUUUGUUUGUUUAAGGAGUUGGGUAUAAAUAUCAAGCAACCAGUGAACCUACAUUGUGACAACAAGGCUGCAAUUCAGAUUGCAUCCAACCCUAUCUUUCUUGAAAAAACUAAACACUUUGACAUUGAUUGCCACUUCGUUAGAGAAACGCUACUACAAAAAAUGAUUAAGACGUAUCAUGUUUCAACAAAAGACAAACUGGCAGAUUUGCUUCCAAAAGGGUUAUGGAAAGCUUCACAUUUAUUCUUAAUGUCCAUGCUGGGAGUAAGAGACAUAUUUCAACCACCAGCUUGAGGAGGGGUGUUAUGCAGUAAAGGAGCUAAGACAGUGGUAGCUGCAGUAAACUGUUAGAAUAGUUAGUAAUAAGUUUGUUAGGAAAGUUGUUACAAGUUAGUUAUUAUUAAUCGUAGUUGAGUUAAAGUAACUAGCCUAGUUAGCUAAUACAUAAUGCAUCGUACUAUAUAUAGAGUAGAUAAUCAUUUGUAGAUGUAUGAAUGACUCUAUGAAUUUAAUAUAGUUUCACAAAAUUUUCUCUCAGAAGCUCCAUUACUUUUUCUGAAUUCUAAACUUUGGGCAGGCAUGAAUAGACCUAAACCAGGAGAUGCCUUAAUGUACUUAACCACCCAAGUGUUGCUUCCAUGUGAGACUCUUUUGGGGCAUGCAUAAAUUGACUUAGCACCUGUAUUAGAAAAGAGAUGUCUACCCUGGUCAUGGUUAGGUAUAAAAACCUCCCUACUAACCUUUCAUACCUUUCGAUGUUCUCCAAAGGUUUAUCUGUAAUAGCGGCUUCUGAACCUUGUGUCUGUGUCAUAUUCAAUAGAUGUUAAUCUUACAUUAGGAUCUACUGGUGUAUAUACUGGUCUUGCAUAACUUAAUCCCCUCUCAGAAAUAAGUUCCAGUGCAUAUUUGAGUUAAUUCAUUACAUACCCCUCCUUUGACCUAGCAAAUUCAUGGCCAAGAAAAAACUUCAGCUCACCCAAGUCUUUCAUCUUAAAAUUGAGUUUCAAAUCAUUUCUGGUCUUGUCAAUUAGGGUAGUACAACUUCCAGUUACAAGUAGAUUAUCUACAUAAACAAGGACUAUGACCAACUCUGCAUCAACAUUCUUAGUGAACAAAGAGUAGUCAUAGUGACUUUGAACAAACCCUAUCUUAACUAAUGCUUCAUUCAACUUCAAGUUCCAUUGUCUAGGUUCUUGUUUGGGUCCAUAAAGGGAGUUGCAUAAUUUGCAGACAAUGUUAGAUCCCUCAUGUCUGCAAAAACUAGGAGGCACCACCAUCUAAACAUCUUCAACAAGAUCACCCUGUAAGAAGGCAUUGUGCACAUCCAUUUGAAAAGCAAGCCAAUGUUUGGCUGCAGAAAGAACCAAAACUGACCUGAUAGUACCCAUUUUAGCCACAGGAGAUAAAGUUUCAGUGUAGUCUAGACCUUUUUUUUUAUUAAAGCCCUUGGCAACUAAUCUAUCUUUGUACAUCUCAACAGCCCCUAGGCUAAAUACUUGAUCUUAAAAACCCAUUUCCAGCCAAUGGGUUGUUUACCAGGUGGUAACUCAGUAAGGCUCCAACUGUGGUUAUCCUCUAAGGCAUCAAUCUCUGGCUGCAUAGCCCCCACCCACUGUGGUUUUGAAGAAGCGUCAAGAAAAGUACUAGGCUCAUAAAUAGUAGCAUAAGAGGAUAAAGAAGCACCAUAGGAAGCAGUGAGAUUAGUAUAGGAGACAUGAUUGGAGACUUGGUACAGACAACUGGAGGUAUGCUUAGGAGUGUGAAAAUCAUGAAGCCAAAUAUGAGGUUUUGUGGACCUAGUAGAUUUUCUCAAAGGUCUACUAUCACUAACAAUAGCAGGAACAACACCUGAGGAAUUAGAAGACUCAGCCAGCACUUCCUCAAUAGCAAGAGAAAGAUACUGAGUAGUUUGAGUAUCAACUGAAGCACCCUCAGCUGAAUCAGCAUCAGCAGGGGGCAACUACACCACAUGUCUCAUCAGUAAGUACCUCUGUAGUCUCAUCUAGGAACUGUAGUACAGGGAAUAAAGAGGAACAAGAAGACCUCAUGUGUUUGAAGGGAAAAACCUCCUCCUUAAACACAACAUCCCUACUAACAAAAAAUUCCUUAGUAGUCAAAGCAUACAACUUCUACCCCUUCUGUAGAGUAGAGUAACCAAAUAACACUGCAUGAAUUGCUCUGCAGGCAAACUUGUCAACACCUCACACCUCAAUGGCAAACACAAGACAGCCAACCACCCUUAAAUGAUCCAAAAUAGGGGGAAUAUGAUACAGUAAAGCAUGAGAAGUCUUGCCCUGAAGCAUAGUGAAGGGAAGCCUUCUAUUUAAGUAGAAAAUGGUGAUGACACAUUCACCCCAGAAUCUGAGAGGUAGACUGACCUAAAGCCUUAGUGACCUAGCCAUAUCUAGAAUAUGUCUAUGUUUUCAUUCAACAACCCCAUUCUGCUGAGAGGUAUAAGUAGAAGAACUUUAGUGAAGAAUGCCUAGUGUGUGAAGCAGAGAAGUGACUUGUGAGUUGAAAAACUCACAACCAUUCUCAGUUCUGAGUACUUUAAUAGUGGUGGAAAAAAUAUUCCCAACCAUGGCAAAGAAAUUGGUAAAAGCUACUAUAACCUCAGCCUUAGAAUUAAGUAAGAUUAACCAUGUGUAUCUGGAAAAGUCAUCAACUAAAGUAAGAAAGUAUCUCUUAUUAUCAUGAGUAGGGACUCGACAAGGACCCCAUACAUCAGCAUGUAGAAGGUCAAAGCAAGUAGUAGUUGUAGAAUUACUCAAAGGAAAUGACAAUCUGGACUGUUUAGCCAAAGUACAUACAAUACAAAUAGAGGUACAACUACUUGAGAAAGACUUGAAACAAUUAAGGUUUCUAAUAGUAGAUACAUGUACAUGGCCUAAUCUAUUAUGCCAAAGAGACAUAUCUACAUUACAAGACUGAGUAGAGGCACUAUGAACCAUAGGAAAAUAGGCUAGAGUACAGUGCAAAGGUACUCUAGGAGACUUAUUGAGUAAGCAAUCAACAUUCACAACAUAUAGAUCAUUCUCCAGUCUGCCAGUCCCCCUUACAUUCCCAUUUGAGAGGUCUUCAAGGAAAAAAAAGUUAGGUUAGAAGAGCACACGACAAUUUAGCUCCGUAGUCAGUUUAGAAACAGACAAAAAAUUAUGUUGAAAUGCAGGAAUAUACAAAAUAUUAAAAAUCUCUAUUUCUUCAAGGACCUUAGAGGAACCAAUGUGAGCUACAUGAGCAAGUGAACCAUUGGAAAAAUGAACCUUAUUAGAUAAGGCAUUAUAUAAUGGAGAGUGUUGAUUCAUCAGAGUCAUGGUAUGAACUAUAUGUUGAGAAGCUCCAGAGUCAAUAAUCCAUGUAUCAACCUCAGUAAUCUUAGAGGAACAAUGCUCUAUACCUGAUGCCAGCAUGUUAUCAAUGUUAGCCUUUGCCUUUACCCUCUCAUUCUCUUGAUCUAACAUGUUCAGGAGCUAUUGGUACUGUUGUGGAGAUAAAUGUGGAUGAUGUUGAACCUGUGGAUCAUAGUGAUUAGGAUAGGGGCUUCAGAAGGAGUAGAAGAAGGAAAACUACCACCAGUUGGCCUGAAAGGAGUGCUUCCAUAUGAGCUGUUGUUAGGUCCCUGAGCAGAUUGAGCUGAAUACUGCAUAAGAUAACUAUUACCAGUAGAAGUCCCUGCAUAAUUGUCUUCAAUAAAAAAGUCCACUAGUUGUUCUGCUCUUACCCUUCCAAUCAGCAGGGUAGCCGUGGAGUUUGUAACAAGUAGAUCUCACAUGACCUUUCCAGUUGCAGUAGCCACAAUAGAGAUGACUAUUUGGGGAUGAUUUAUGAGAAGAUCUAGGAACGGCUCCUGAAUGAGGGUUAGAUCCAGAGUUGGGAUUGAAACUUGAUCUAGGCAUAGCACACUUGUUGUUACUGAAGAAUGCCAUAGCCUCAUUCACCAGACUAGAAUUAUCACUACCUACAACAUUACAUUUUCCAAGCAUCCUCUAACUUGUGCACUUGUCUACAAACAAGGAGGUCAGUAACAGGUUAUCUUGUGAAAUUUGGAGAUGUACUAAUUUCCUGGAAAUAAAAAAAAAGACAGUGGCUAAAAGCUCUACUGAAGCUGAAUUCAAAAGCAUGGCAUCACUUGUAGUAGAGAUAACUUAGCUUAUCGGUUUGUUUAAAAAGUUAGGGAUAAAUAUGAAGCAACCAGGGAAUGUACAUUGUGACAGCAAGGCUGCAAUUCAGAUUUCAUCCAAUCCUAUAUUUCAUGAAAGAACUAAACACUUUGACAUCGAUUGCCACUUUGUCAGAGAAAAGCUACUACAAAAAAUGUUUAAGACUCAUCAUGUUUCAACAAAAGACCAAUUGGUAGAUCUGCUUACAAAAGGGUUAUGGAAAGCUUCACAUCUAUUCUUAUUGUCCAAGCUGGGAGUAAGAGACCUAUUUCAGCCAGCAGAUUGAGUAGGGUGUUAUGCAGUAAAGGAGCUAAGACAGUAGUAGCUGCAGUAAACUUUUAGAAUAGUUAGUUAUAAGUCUGUUAGGAAAGUUGUUACAAGUUAGUUAUUAUUAAUCAUAGUUGAGUUGAAGUAGCUAGCCUAGUUAGAAAAUACCAAAAUGCAAUGUACUAUAUAUAGAGUAGAUACUCAUUUAUAAAUAAAUGUAUGAAUGACUAUGUGAGUUCAAUGUAGUUUCACACAGUUUUCUCUCAGAAUCUCCAUUACUGAUUCUUCACUGCUGAAACUAACACCUCCAUCAUACUUCUGGGACAUUGGUUCCCUUACCAUCAAAAUACUAGAGCAUAUAUACCCUUUACUCUAACUUAAAUUGUCUAGAUAACAAUCCCAGAUAAAUGUAGAAGCUCCUACUACUACUGUUGCUAGUAGAAUGGAAUCCUAGUUGUUGGGUAUGCCUCGUAUCUAGAUGUAAGGCCUUCCUAAUUAUUAUAUAUAAAUAAAUACCCUUUUACAACAAACAAACAAAAAUUGAAGGAAAAGAGUUGGAUGCAUGGGACCCACAAUAAGUAUCAUUCCAUCUCACAUAAGCACUUAGAUAGAUGAUGUAAGCAAAGGAUAAUUAGUACUCCCUAUGUCCCUAAUUACUUAUCCAUUUUUCAUUGUUUAGUUUUCCCUAAUUACUUGUCCAUUUUGACAAAUCAAGAAAGGAUAAAAAAAAUUCUCUAUUAUACCCUCAAUUUAUUACUUUGAAAAAUGUAGAACUUCUUGAAAAUCUUAAGUUUUUAAUUCAUCAACUUCAUAAUUAAUAGGGAUAAAAUGGUACACUCGCUUUAUCAAUUAUUGUCUUCAUAAUAGGUGUUUCAAUUCAAAAGUUGACAAGUAAUUCGGAACAGAGGGAGUAUUUGGAUAAGUGCGAAAAUAAUUUCUUAAAAAUAAUGAUAAAUUAUUAUUUUUUAAAUAAUUGAAUCUUAAUUUAUUGAAGUAGAAGUAGAAGUAGACAAGCCUAAAACAUUUUUCUAUAUUUAUGUAAUAAUGAUAUUAAUAAAUAGAAAGAAUUGAUUUGACAAUGUUGCAUCGAUCAUGUGCAAAAGAAAGAAGGGCCAAGAAUUGAUGAUGAUCUUGUGGGUGGUAAACAAGUGUCCACUGCACCGCCCUGCCUAUUUUGAUUUUAUAGUAUAUCCUUGUGCACGUAUAUCUAUAUAAUUUUUUUUGAUUGAUAUAUAAGAAAUGAUAGUAUAGUAUAGUCGUAAUAGAAGGAUUUAUUAACGGAUAAGUUUAGAGGGUUAAAGAACUUGUUUGUGACGAUUUUUAUGUCUCAGUUGGCCAUAUUUGUUGUAACUCCGGCAACGGAGGGUUAAAAUUGCAGGUGACAGCCACGGAGGCCAACCACGACCCAUGGGUAGGACCACGGACCGUAGUGUGGACCGUUGAUUGGUCACCCCUAAGGUCUGCAGAGGAUGAGGACCACGACCUGACCAACGGACCGUAAGUCAAACCAUGGUUCGUGGUUGGGGGCCCGUGGUUUAGCGACCCAAAAACAACCUACUGACCAUGGUCCGUAGUCAGUGGUCCAUGAAUGGUAGGUCGGCAGUUAAGUUUAGGGGUAGUUGGGUCUUUUCCUAAUUAAUUAUUUCUAAUACUAUGUCAUUUUACCCUGCACUAAGACCCCUGUAUAAGUGAUUUCAAACCCCAAAAUAGCCCAUUCCCUUCAUUCUCGCCAAAUUCACCAAAAAGAAGAACUCUCCAAUAAUUCUCUCUCUAGAAAGCUUGAAGAAGAAGGAUUCAACCUAGGGUUUCAAGUCAAGUCUCAAUUCCUUCAUUGAAGAUUAGCAAUUGGAUUCAAGGUAUGAUAGUUUUCAUCCAUGGAUUCCUUCCAUUCAUAGAGUUCCUAAAUUCUCCUAUGUCAAAGUUAGAAAUCCCCAAUGGAGAUAGGGUUUUCUUCAAUUGUCAUGGGCUCUUUUUAUUAUUGAUUUAAAUGAUUGAAUUAUGAUCCCUUAUGCAUGAAUUGAUUAAAUAAUAUGAUUUUAUAAUGACUUCCCCAUGAACCGUUGUAAUCCCCAUGUUUUCAAGUUAUGAUCAUAUGAUGUGGGAUUUUGAUUAUAAAGAAAGAGUUUUAUGAAAUCGAGCAUGUAUUGAUAGAGUUACAUGAAUUUAUAAUGAAAUCCAUAGCUAACCCAUGUUUUCUAAAGGUUGAUUAUUGAAAGUGGGUUUGAACCUUGAAAUGUAAAUUAUGGAAUUAUGCAUAUUCUUAUGAAACCUAUGCAACUGUUUUAAGGAUGUUUUGAGAGUAAAGUAUCAAUGAUGAUGUUGUUGUUGUUUUAUUGAAAGGAUUUUCUCAUAAACACAUGAAAGCAUGAUGUCAACGUUUUCUCACAUAAUAAAGAUUCUAAGGUUGAAGGGUCUUCUCACCUAAUUGAAUCAAAGAUUAAAAGCUAUCCUAAUGAAACCUAGCUUGGAUUGGUUAUUGAAUGAUAUAUUUCCAUGGAUGAUGACUUAGAUUGGAUUGGUAAGAUGACGUACGUUUCCAUGGAUAAUAAGAACAGGUAAGAAAUGACUAUUCUGUGGGAUUUAUGCUUAAGCACCAAGAGGAUAUUGAGAUGGAAGCUCUCCCAUUAGUACAGGUCGGGUUUCUAGAAGCAAUAUCCUUAUCCCUUACCUAUGUGCCUCCAUAGGAUGAUUGUCUAGAUAGACAUUAGCUAGUGGAUCCACCUACACUAGAAGUUCAUGGUCCUUACCUUGGUAAGUAGGACAAUGUUUUUCGGUGUGGAAGACACCGAGGGAUCGUGUUAUAACUCACAUGGUCUGUAUGUCAAUUAAGGCUAAUCCCCCACAAUAAUAAUGAACUAAGGUUACUUCAAGAAGUAUCUCAUAUGUUUUCAAAGACUUUAAUGAUGUUAGCUUGCAUUUACCAUGUUUUAUGACUUAUAUUUUCUAACCCUUUUAUAUCACGUUUUAGCUUGGUCAAUUGCAUGUCAUGAAAUGUCCUCCCCUUAGCAUGAUUUAAAUGUUUUAUUCAUAUCUAUCAUACUUGGUACAUUGUUUUGUACUAACACAUACUCUUGCGUACAUUUCCCUGAAUGUAGGGUCUGACAGCCAGGUUUCUCUGUUUCGUGGCUAGUGGUUGAUUACGAGGUUCUCGAGCUUUGGUGAGUCCUCAUGCUUCGAGGAUGGGUUUUCAUUGUUUCAGUUUAAUUCUUGUAGUAAGUUUUAGACAUGAUGUAUGGGCUAGGACCAAUUUCAUUCUAUUAUACUAGAUAGCUAAUGAGACAAGUGUUUUAUACUUCUGCUUUUCUUUUAGGUGAAAUGGUCUGGUGGACCCUUAUACUUGUACGAGUUUGUAUUGUGAAUCCUUCUACUUACUCGUUUUUCAAUUGAACCCUUCAACUCAAUCAAAAUGAGUCGUUUAAACCCC